rnacentral:lncRNA from 1 species
CGGCGGUGGCUGCCUCAUCUCUUCCUCCCAAUCCUCUCUCCCAAAUCCUUUAGAUCUGUGGAUUUUUUUCCGUGGAUUUACGCCCGAAAUCCGUCUAGAAGGUAAUCUCUUUCGUUUCCCAUCUUUCUGUCUAAAUAAUAUUGCAAGUUUUUUGGAUUUGUAUUGUUUGGAUGGGAGCCAUGUUUUGGUGGGAUUUGAAAUAUAUAUGAGGAUUUAGAGGUAUUUUAUGAAUCCUAGAUGAGUAGAUGAGUAGAUUAUUAUGUAGGUUUCGUAGAUGACUAUUCGUAUAUGAGUAGAUGGUGUGGAUUUUGAAGUUGGUUGUAUUUUUUUUAGUAAUAUGUAGAUGAGUGGGUGAAUAGAUAACAAUUCCUAUAUGUAGAUGAGUACAUGACUAUUCCUAUAUGAGUAGGAUGAGUAGAUGAAUAUUCCUAUUCCUAUAUGUAGAUGACUAGAUUCAUAUUCUUAUAUUAGUAGAUGAAUAUAUAUGAGAAGUUAGUUGAUUUUUUUUUGGUGAUAUGUAGGAUGGUGUGGCUUUUGAAUGAUGCCUAUGAUGUUGAACACCGGGCCUACUUGAUGUCGGAGAAGCGGAUGGUAAGUACAACAUAUUAUUAUGUUCAAAAAUCAUGUAUUUAUUUAAGAAGAUCAAACUGUAAUCAUAUCACUCCUCUAUGUUUGUAGAAGCUUAUACCCUUGACGAUUCCAUCUCGCGGGGCAUCGAUUGUCAUGUCGUACGAUGAGCUGUACACACCAUAUAUCGAGAUGACAUGGCUCCUUCCAUUCAUUCAGCUUGUUAGUCGGUCAACGCCCAACCUGAACGCUGCGGCAAUCAGUGCACUUACUGAUCGGUGGAGGCCGGAGACCCAUAGUUUUCACCUACGGACCAGAGAGAUGACACUGACUCUUCAAGAUUUUUCCAUGAUCACCGCACUUUCGAUCGAGGGGAAGCAUGUCUGUAUGAGCACCGAUUCUGAGGGAUGGCGACAACAAAUGAAGGUCCUUAUUGGUAUGUCACCUCCAGAGCCGGAGGUAGAAGAUGGAGAGAAGAAAGAUAGAGUCCCGGCUGGCGCUCCUUUCACUUGGAUUGUAGCCAACUUUGCUCAUUGUCCUCAGGACACCAAUGACGAUGUGAUCCAGACUUAUUCUCGCAUGUACAUGUAGUAUGUUAUCUCUAGGACUAUAUUCGCCGAUGACACUGGCAAGAAUGCUCAAUGGAUGUGGCUGAAGGCAUUGACGGUUUUUGACAACAAGUUUAGCUGGUGGUCGACCGCAUUGGCCUACUUGUACAGGUAGGUAAUAAAUUGGUGGGAUUAUCUUAAGGGAGGGAUUGGACACGAAAUGCCCGAACCAAACCUUCAGAUCUGUUGAUUUGGAGAGGGAUUUGAGGAAGGGGCGACUUGAACUCGAACUGUGAACACUCUAUGGUGAAGGGGGUGAAUGAGGAGGGGGUGGGGGAGGAGGCCGGCCCAUGGCUGGAUAACUGAAGGUGUGGAGCCUAAGAGCUCGGCGCCACACUACCGCAAGUGCAACACCUGAGCCUUAGGCGUCACACUGCCGGGGGUGGGCCUGCAGUGCCAGCGUGGACGGAUGUGUGACGCCGAUGUCUUAGACGUCACAUAGUGUAGUGUGGCGCCUAGGCGUUGGGCGCCACACAAAAUGGUCAGUUCGAUGAAUUUUUUUCACGACGGGUUCAGUUUGCGAGUUCUUUUAGCCCAGGGUUCAGAAUUGUCCAUUUUGUCACUGGUGACACCUCCAAUUUGCAGGAGAGAAGGCAUGGCAGCCUGACUCCAUGAACAAAGAUGCCGAACAAUACACGACAAGUGGGCAAAAGCAACACCAUGGGUAACAUCUCGAGGAUAGAUGUAGUAAUAUGCGGGGAUAAUUCAUAUUACAAAUUUACGGGGAGCAUCCGUAGUCAUGAUAUGAACAUAGGAUGCCUGCAUGCCCCUAAAUACAGGUCACCCGAGAAGACACGAAACUAGGCCCAUAUCUACAAAAGACUGGCUGGCUGAUUAGGGAGGUACAAAGGGUCACAGAAAGGUCAAAAUAUAACUAACCCCACGAGCCUUGAAAGUAGGGGUCCUCCUUGUUCUCAUAUAUCACAAACAACCACGAGGAGCACUUCUCCAUAUCAUGUACAGUCUUCUUAAGUGGUCCAAAAGCAUCACCAUCGAGAAGAAAGUCCCGCUAUGCACGACCCCUAAAAAAGAAAACCAUUUAUUGCAUGAGACAAACUGAAACCUCGAGUUCAAUGCUAGUUCUUGGUCUUUUCCCUAUGGCUAAAACUGAUAUAAUGUAAGUGAAAAAGAAAAUAUAAGAACACAUCACAUAUGCUUGUGUUCCACAGUACUUGUUCAAUGGUCAAAAACAAAACUACUCGCUCUGUCUCAUAAUGUAUUUUUGAAACUACACUAACGUCAAAAAACAUCGUACGAAGGGAAUACAUUAUAUGUUUAUUAAGUUGUUGCCAGAUAGGCCCAAAGCUAAAACAUUGGCAUCACAAUAUAUACACCCUUAUCUUAUGAACACAAUGAUAUCCGCUUAUUCUUGUCGCUUGUAAGUGCAUGAGCACUAGAUAAGACCUCCAACAAAAACGUGAUUAUGAUUAUGCAUAGUCAUCAGGGUAGCUCAAUUUUAACUAAGCAUAGAGUGUGUCAUGCUGAGGGCAGGGCUGGCGCAGUGGUGAAGUCCUCCCCACUUGUGCCAAGAGGUCCUGGGAUCGAACCAGCCUUUCUGCAUUGCACUUCGUAGGGGUAAGACUAGGUUUCUAUAAUUCCUCACUAUACCCCACCUUAUGUGGGAGCUUCUAUGUACUGGGUCUGUCGUGUUUCCUCUUGGUUGUUCAACCUACUUCGGUGUACUCUAAGAGGCCCUAUAGUUUACAUGGAAAAGACAAGUACUUCACACUUUCACAGAUACAAGUAGAACCGAACGUCAAAAUCAGUAUAAUGCAUGGUCAACAGAAGAUAUUAAUUCACACACCAAAAAUCCUCUUAACUACAGAAAAUAUUUUGAAAUAAAUAAGUGUCUAGAUGGAAGUUCUUUCUACAAACAAGGACAAGUAGCAUAAAGCAUGCAUAUGGUCGUAUUUUCACGUGAUCAUGUCAAAUUCGGCAAGGGAAGUUGUUAAUUGUUAUACCGUGGUCUUCAUGUACGAUUUGUUUAAAAUAAAUAAAUUUUAACUUUUCAUAGUGGUGAAAACAAUUCCAAAUAUAUGGUGCAAAUGGAGCGAGGUAUAUAGUUUUCUCAAGUUGCCUCUAAAACAUUAAAUUAUAGAGAUGUGGCACAAAGUUGGAGAAUUAUAAAAAAAUGAAGUCAAGGACAAUCCAAAAAGCACAUGUGGCAUUUAAAUGGAGAUGCAAGUAUAUGCAGAAAUGUCGGUUGAAGUCAAGGACUAGCAUGUAUUCCCUCUGUACCACAAUACUUGUAGUUGGAAUACUUGUAUUAGUGUUCCCCAACAACAAGUAUUUAGAUAUACAAGGAGUAUCUAGUUAAAUACUUUAUAGUGCACAAACAACAUUCAUGAAAAAGUACAGGGUGUUCAACAACUGUUGAUAGCAUAUCCACCUUAUACUCACAAUCUAUACUCUUAGCCAUCCUUUUACGGUCUAUGCAAAACCCGUAGAAUCUAUGUAGAGUUUUCUCAAAAAUCUGGUCAUACUCUCUCACUGACUUUUAACUAACUGAGCCGAGCACCUUGUAAUGGGUGUAGUAUACCCUUUUAUUUCGGCCAAAGCAUCAUCAUUCCCACUUACACUCUCACUAUAGACCUAAAUAUACAGGGAAGAUAAGAAGUAGAAACCAUGGAGGUCUCCAACAUUAUUCAAAAGCAAUGUUCAGGAAAUCUUUAGCAGGUAACUACUCGGUCGACUAGCGAGUAGGGUAUUAAUAGGUGAAUCGGUCAGUUAGCCAGCUGGUAAAUCGGCUACUCGGUGAUCUACUAAGCAGGGAUUAAUCAGCAGUUAACUCAUUUAUUGGCUGAUAUUUUUAACAAGUGAAGAUCUAAACAUGUAUUCCUAUAUAGCACUACAAUAUUUUGAACAAGUGAAGAUCAUAACAUGUAUUCCUAUAUAGCAUUACACUGACAAGCAUUGUCCAGGUCUAUGUUGGUGAUGUGUCGCCAAUAUGGCCUCAUGUGAAACUCCGGUAAAACUGACAGAUACCAAAGCAAAAUCAUGAUGAUAUGAGGGAAACAAAGAUUGUAUUAAGAAAUACGCAUCUUGUAUUCACAUGGGGCUACAGGCCGGAAUAUAUACAUGUACAUGUGCAAGAAAUAUAGCAAAAAAAAACCUUAUGCAAUGGGGUAAAUACAAAAGGCUACAUGACAAUACAUAUAUUACUCUAACACCCCCCCCCCCUCAAACCUAAUGGUGGAUGAACAACACUGAGUUUGGAGAGAUAAAUAAAAGCCAUGCUGCGAUCUAGUCUGGGUCUUCGUAAAGAAAUCUAGCAACUCUAACUCAGAAGGCACAUACUGAAGAACAAUAACCCGAUCCUGCACACGAGCGUGCACAUAGAAAGCAUCAACACCAAUAUGCUUGCUUAGCUCAUGCUUCACAGGGUCACGCGCAAUACUAAUAGCACCUGUACUAUGUGACAAGAGCAUAGUAGGUGUAGUGGUCGAAACACCAAAGUCCUGAAGUAACCAUUGUAACCAAGUCACCUCAGCCGUCAAAAGAGCCAUAGCUCACAACUCAGCCGCAGCACUCGAACGCAAAGCAGCAGGCUGCUCCUUUGUCUUCCAGGCAAUGAGAGAACCACCAAGAAAAACACAGUAAGCAGAAAGUGAACGACGAUCUGGAUCACUAGCCCACAUAGCAUCUGAAUAGGCCUGAAGCUAUAAGGAAUCAGAGCUAGGAAAGAACAGGCAGUGAGAGAUCGUGCCUCAAAGAUAUCGAAGAACACGAAGGAGGUGACUAUAGUGAACUGAAGUGAGAGAGGAGACAAACUGAUUUAGAAUAUGGACUUGAUAGGAGAUAUCUGGACGAGUGGCAGCUUGAUAGAUAAGACUUCCUACAAUAUGACGAUAACGCGUUGGAUCAAGCAAGGGAUCACCAUCAGUAUCAACGAAGAUGAACAUUGAGCUUCAUAGAAGUAUCAACAGUGCGCUCAUCAGCAAGAGGAGCACGAGCAAGAAGAUCCUGGAUAUACUUUCCUUUGGAAAUAGAAAAGCCAUCAGAGGUAGAAGAGACCUCGAUCCCAACAAAGUAGAAAAGAGGGCCAAGAUCAAACAUACGAAACUGCUCACUAAGACGAGCCUUCACAAAGGCAAUAUACUCGGGGUCAUCGCCAGUGAUAAUCAUGUCAUCAACGUAUAGAAGAAGAAGAUUCCAUCCACAAGCAAAAAGAUGGACAAAUAGCGUUGGAUCAUGAGCACUUGGUGAAAAACCAGGGGCUGUCACCAUAGAGGCAAACCGCUCAAAACGAGAGCGAGGGGCUUGCUUAAGGCCGUAGAGAGAGCGACGAAGAUGGCAUACGAUGUCAUCACAAACAGGAUACCCGUGUGGGGGCAGCAUGUAAACCUCUUCAUGCAGCUCACCAUUAAGAAAGGCAUUUUGAACAUCAUUUUGAGACAUAGACCAGUGGCGAACAGAGGCCAUGUCUAGAAGUGUACGAACGGUGGUCAUACGGGCCACAUGAGUAAAAGUCUCAUCAUAAUCACGACCAUGCUCCUGCUGAAGGCCACGAGCCACAAGACGAGCUUUAUAACACUGAUGAGAACCAUUAGAGCGAGUAUUAACCUUGUAGACCCACUUAUAAGUGAUGGGACAAACACCGCGAGGAAGAGAAACAUGAUCCCACGUGCUAGUGCGCUCAAGAGCUGCAAGCUCCCCUGCUAUCACAAACUGCCAUUCAGGAUGAACAACAGCUUGACGAUAGGAAGUCGGCUCAAGAACAACAGCAUUAGCAUGUGGAAAACCAAAACAAUCAAUAGGCGGAAGCGAACGAGGACGCAAGCGAUAAGUAGGCUGAGAUGAGGAAGAUGCCACAUCACUAGACACAUCCACAUUAUGCCGACGACGAGUAUAGUACUAAGGAAAAGAUGGAACAAUACUAGGAGGAAUUGACGAGGUAGACUCAGGCGAUGGAGAUGAAGAAGUCACCGGGGAUGAAGGUGCAGAAUUGUGUGACAUGCAAGGUGAGGAAACCACAAGAGAUGGUAGCGUCGGAUCUCCAAUAGCCAAAGAAGUAGGGGCAGCAGGACGGAUGGAUAAGGACUCAACGGGAGUAAUAUGUGUGUCAGGAAAAAAGUAAAAAGAUAUCCUCCAUUGAAAAGGUCAAGGAAGACGGGCGCGAGUAGAAGGGACGAGACUCUUCAAAAGUCACAUCCCGAGAAAUACGCAUCCGAUGACAGUGCGCUCUCCAACGUAUCUAUUAUUUUUGAUUGUUCGAUGCUGAUGUAUUAUCAUUCUAGGAUACUCUUCGGGCAUUUAAAUACUAAUUUAUAAUAUUUUUGAGCACUAACUUAUGGACCUAGUGCCUAGUGACAGUUCUUGUUUUCUCUGUGUUUUUUGCUUUGCAGGUUUACCCUACCAAACGAAGUCCAACUGCCACAAAACUUUAAUAUGAUUUUUUGGACUAUAUGAAGACCUGCAAGCAUCAGAAGUGGACGAGAGGACACACGAGGGAGGCACAAGGCAACAGGGAACGACCCAGGGCUUGGUCGCACCCUAAUGGCGUGUGCCCCCUGGAUACCUCCCGAUGUCCUUGUGUGGCCUAUAAAUUCACAAAUCUUCCGAAUACCCUAAGAGCACUCCCAAAACACUUUUUCUGCUCCCGCAAGUCUCUGUUCCCACGGGAGGCCAUCUAAACCUCCAUUCCGGCGAUCUGCCGGAGGGGAGAUCAAUCAUGGAGGGCCUCUACAUCAACCUUGCUGCCCUCACCAUGAUAUGUGAGUAGUUUACCAUAGACCUACGGGUCCGUAGGCAGUACCUAGAUGGCAAUCUCUCUCUCUCUUAUGAUCUUCAAUACCAUGUUUAUCACAUCUUUGCUUUGAUCUAUCCGAUGUAAUCACUAUGUAUGGUGUGUUUGUUGGGAUCCGAUGAAUUGUGGGUUUAUGUUCAGAUUAUUCAUGAAAAGUAUUUGAGUCACCUCUGAUUAUUAUGAUUCUUAAUUGCACGAUUAUCAGAGCUACAUAAUGCUCUCCGAUCUACUGAGAUAGUUUGGCCAACUAGAUUAAUAUUUCUUCAGUGGGAGUGGUGCGUUGUAGUAGGUUCAACCUCGCAAAUUUCUAUAGCCAAGUGACAGAAGGGGACACGAUGCGUCUUUCUGUUGCUGCUACUAAGGAUAAAACGAUGGGGUUUAUUCAUAUUAAUUGAAUUUAUUUUGUCUACAUCAUGUCAUUGUUCUCCAAGCAUUACUCUGUUUUUACUUAAUACGUAGAGAGGCAAGCAUAGAUGCGCUCUUGAAGUGGAGUAAUAGUUAUAGGUACAGGCAGAAGUUGUCCUAUUUUCUUAUGGACGUGAUGCCUAUAUACACAUGAUCAUUGUCGUGAAAAUCGCAUAAUUAUUGGUUGUUCUAUCAAUUGCCCAAUAGUAAUUUGUUUACCCACCAUAUGUCUUUGCCAUGAGAUAUGCCACUAGGGAACACUACGGCCCCCGGGUCUAUUCACUUAUAUAUUUACAAACGCAACUACUACCUUGCUGCCAUUAUUUGUGUUUUAUUUUAUUUUGCAAUUUACAAUUAUCUACACACCUCAUUUGCUUGCAAAUAACGAGAUGAAGGGGAUUGACAACCCUCUUGCCCGCGUUGGGUGCAAGUUCUUUGUUUCUUCGUGUGUAGUCGCUGGAGACGGUUGAGGAUUGGUAUUCCUAUUGGUUCGUUAAACCUUGGUUUCAUAAGUGUGGGAAAUACUUACCCGCACUAUGCUGCGAUAACCCGUUCCUCUUCACGGAAAACCCAACGCACAUCACAGUCAUCAGGAACGAUUUCUGGCGCCGUUGUCGGGGAAUACCAUCACCAACUAUCAAGUAGCUUCUCACAAAAUUUCAUUCAUGUGUUCUUAUUUUUAUUUAUUUUUAUAUUUAGUUUUUCACCUAAAAAUUAAAAAUACAAAAAUAUUUACCUUUGCUUGUUGCUAGCUUACUUCGUCGCUUGCUAGUUUACUUGUCUUGCUUGUUGCUUUGCUUGUUCGAUCACCAUGUCUCAAGAUACUACUAAAUUGUGUGAAUUCUCAAAUGCUAAUAAUAAUGAUUUUGUUAGUACUCAUAUACCACUCGCCAAGAGUGCGGAUGCUUUUGAUAUUAAUGCUGCAUUGCUGAAUCUUGUGAUGAAAGAUCAAUUUUCGCGAAGUCCUAAAGAGGAGCAUGCUGCUCAUCUUAAUACCUUUGUUGAAUUAUGUGAUUUGCAAAAGAAAAAGGAUAUGGAUAAUGAUAUUGUCAAACUAAAAUUAUUUCCUUUUUUGCUAAGAGAUAAAGCUAAAGCUUGGUUUUCAUCUUUACCUCGUAAUAGUAUUGGAAUGUGGGAUGAGUGUAAGGAUGCUUUCAUUGCCAAGUAUUUUCCUCCUGCUAAGAUCAUCUCCCUUGGAAAUCAAAUAAUGAAUUUUAAACAGAAAUAUCAUGAGCAUGUUGCACAAGCAUGGGAGAGAUUGAAAUUAAUGAUAAGAAAUUUCCCAACUCAUGGUUUAAACUUGUGGAUGAUUAUCCAAAAUUUCUAUGCUGGACUAAACUUUGUGUCUAGAAAUCUUCUAGAUUCUGUUGCAGGUGGUACCUUCAUGGAUGUGACCUUAAGAUAGGCCACCAAACUUCUGGACAAUAAUAUGACAAAUUAUUUUCAGUGGCAUAUACCAAAAGAUCUCCAACUGGUAAGAAGGUAAAUUCUGUUGAAGAAAUUGCUACUUUGAGUGAAAAAGUGGAUGCUGUUAUGAAUAUGGCUGCUAGUAAAAAUACUCAUGUUGAUCCCAAUGAUAUGCCUUUUUCUACCUUUAUUUAAAAAAUAGUGAUGCUAUUGAUGUGAACUUCAUCUCACGAAAUAAUUUAAAUAACAAUGCUUAUAGAGGAAGUCCCAAUGCUAGACCGUAUCCCGGUAAUUCCUCUUAUAACUAUGGAAAUUGUUAUGGUAAUUCUUAUGGAAACUCUUCUACAAAUGCUAAUAGGAUACCCCUUUAUCUUGAGAACACAAUUAAAGAAUUUAUUAAUUCACAAAAAGUUUUCAAUACUAUGGUAGAAUAAAAAUUGCAUGUUGUUGAUACUUUGCCUAAAAACAUGGAUAGAAUUGCUCUUGAUGUAGAAACUCUUAAAAGCAAGGUGCUUCCACCUAAGCAUAAUUUUAAUGAGUCUAUUUAAUCUAUCCAAAUAUAUAUUAAUGAAAGUAAGGAGAGACCUCUAAGUUGAGAUCUAAGCGGGAAUUCUUAGAAAAGGCUCUUCCACCCGGUUUUUACUCGAACCAUGAUGAAGAUAUUAAAAUGAUUGGUGUUUCUCCUAUUGAAUCUUUGUUUACCUCUCUGAAUAUAAAUGAUAAAGGGACUGGAGAUAACUCAACUCUAGUUGAGGAGCAUCCCGUUUGCAUGGAGGGUGAUAAUUUUGAUGCUAAAAUUGAAAAAAACGGGUUUUGAGAUGUCAAAACUCUAGUUAGUGAUGUGCCCACUAUAUUGGAUUAUAAGCACCUUAAUUAUUGUAAAUGCUCCAUAGCAUAAUGUAUUUCCUUGACGCAAUCCAUUAUUAUCUCACCCAAUGCUUAUGAACAAAACAAAGCUUUUACCGAACAUAUAGUUGAAGCUAUGAUGAAAGCUUAUGAUGAGAAACUUGAACUUGAAGUUUUUAUUCCUAGAAAUUGCAUGAUGAGUGGGAACCUACUAUCAAACUAAAUAUAAAUAAAUAUGAAUGCAAUGCUUUGUUUGAUCUCGGUGCUAGUGUUUAAACCAUACCAAAAACUUUAUGUGAUGUGCUUGGUCUCACAAAUAUUGAAGCGUGUUCCCUAAACUUGCAUCUUGCCGAUUCAACCAUGAAGAAACCUUUAGGUAAAAUUAAUGAUGUUCUUAUUAUUGCAAAUAAAAAUUAUGUGCCUAUAGAUUUCAUUGUGCUUGAUAUUGAUUGUAAUCCUUCUUGUCCCAUAAUACUUGGAAGGCCAUUCUUACGAACUAUAGGUGCAAUUAUUGGCAUGAAGGAGGGAAACAUAAGGUUCCAAUUUCCACUAAAGAAAGGGAUGGAACACUUUCCUAGAAAGAUAAUUAAACCACCUUAUGAAUCAGUCAUGAGUUCCACUUAUGGGUUGAAUGUCAAAGAUGACAACACUUGGAACUAUGCCUUAUGCCUAGCUAAGGGCUUAAAACCAUAGCGCUUGUUGGGAGGCAACCCAAUAGUUAUCUUAAUUUUUGCUUUUCAGUUUCUGUUCUUUUGUGUUGACAUGCUUAUUGCCUCUGUAAUGAUUAUGUUUUUAUGUGUUUAUUAGUAUUUGUGCCAAGUAAAGCCUUUGGGAUAACUUAUUUGAUGAGUAUGAUUGAUGUUGUGCAAAAAACAGAAACUUUCGUUUUGAGUGCAGAAUUUGUAAUUCUCUGCUUGAGCGUGCUAAAUUCUUUGAAUUUUUACACACCAUUUAUGUACAAAUUCUACACGUUGUCUUAAUUUUUUAGAAUUUUUGGAGUUAAAUAUUAUGGUAUCUUUACAGAUUGCUACAAACCAUUCUGUUUUAAAUAGAUUUUGUUUUGCGUGCAUAGUUUGCUUGUUUUGAUGAUGCUAUGGAUUAUAUGGGGGUGUAUAAGUCAUGGAUAAGUUAGAAUACAGUACCUAUUAUGCAAUUAUAAAUUAAGAAUCAAUUUAUAACAGUACCUAAAGUAUGCAAUAUGUUUCUUACACUAACGGAUUUCACGAAGUUUUAUUGAGUUUUGUGUGCUUGAAGUUUUCAAAUUUUGAAUGUGAUCGCGAUGGAUCAUGGAAUAAGGAGUAGCAAGAGCCUAAGAUUGGGGAUUACCAAGACACACCAAGUAUUAUUAUAAGGAAGACUCAAGCGUCUAAGCUUGGGGAUGCCCCUGAAGGCAUCCCAUCUUUCGUCUCAAACCAUCGGUAUGCCAAUUGGAGCUACAUUUUUAUUCAUCACAUGAUAUGUGUUUUGGUUGGAGCGACGUUUGCUUUUGUUUGAUUUUACUUUCAGUUUGUCACAAUCAUAAUUUUCUGGACACACCUAUUAUAGAUAUACUCACCUUCAUUAUGAUUUGCUAGAAUACUCUGUGUGCUUCACUUAUAUCUUUUGAGCUUGGCAGUUGCUCUAGUACUUCACUUAUAUCUUUUCGAGCAUGCUGGCGUGUAGAUUUUACAGAAAUAAUUUUCUCUCAUUCUUCACUUAUAUUUGUUUGAGAUAUGAAUUAAUAAUGAUGGUAAUUUUCAUGGGUCAUAAUACUAGUCCAAAAAUAAUAGGCAUUCAAUGCAUGAUAAUCAAAACCAUCAUGUAGCACACAUAAAGAAAUUGUGAGUUAAUAACAUUGAUAUGGUAAUAUGAAAAGGAUGUAAGUCCAUAAUUGUUGAUUCAUAUAAGUGUCGGGAUUAAAGGGGUGUUAACUUGUUGUUAAUCUAAAUAUUAAACAGGCAUGGUGAUGAUGUGUGAGCAUUCUUAUUCAUCGUUAAAACCUAGUGUUGUCUUGAGUCGGGGGAGCGCGGUGGUUAACUCCUACCGACCCCCUCCCUCGGGGCAUGCGAGAUGUACUUUGAUGUGUGAUAAAACUAAUAAAACUUCACAAUAAGUAUGUGAGUUCUUUAUGACUAAUGUGACACCUUGGACAUACGCAUCUUUACCUUUUCAUAUUUGCUAGCCCCUUCGGUACCGUGCAUGGCCCAUUCUCACCUCGAGGAUUGGUGCAACUUUCGCUAGAGCAUCCACACCCCAUGGCAUGAUACGCUGUGUUGCACAUAAGCCUCAUUAUAUCUUCCUCAAAACAUCCACCAUACCUACCUAUUAUGGCAUUUCCAUAGCCAUUCCGAGAUAUAUUGCCAUGCAAAUUCCAUCGUCACUUCACAUGACUAGUUCGUUCAUCGUCAUAUUGCUUUGCAUGAUCAUAUAGAGCUCACAUAGUAUUUAUGGCAAAGCCACCUUCCAUCAUGUUUUUGAUACAUGUCACGCUAGAUCAUUGCACAUUCUAGUACACUGCCAGAGGCAUUCUCAGAGAGUCAUAUCUUCCUAUCAGUUCUCCAUAUUGAGUUGUAAGUAAAUAAAAGUGUGAUAAUCAUCCUUGUUAGAGCAUUGUCCCAGUGAGGAAAGGAUGAUGCAGACUAUGAUUCCCCCACAAGUCGGGAUGAGACUCCGGACCAAAAAUAAAUAAAUGGAUGCCUAAUGAGCCCACCAUAUAUAUAUAUAUAUAUAUUAUGGGGGAGGCAAAAAAAAGAGAAAAGCCCACCAUAAAAAAUGAGAGAAAAAGAGAGAAGGGACAAUGCUACUAUCCUUUACCACACUUGUGCCUCUAAGUGGCACCAUGAUAUUCAUAGCGAGAGUAUCCUAUGAUGUCACCUCCAUAUGCUAGUGGGAAUUAUCUUAUCAUACUACACUUGGCUUGUAUAUUCCAAUGACGGGCUUCCUCAAACGCCCUAGGUCUUCAUGAGCAAGCAAGUUGCAUGCACACCCCACUUAGCUUCAGUUGAGCUUUCAUAGACUUGUAGCUCUAAUGCAUCAUUUGCAUGGCAAUCCCUACUCCUCGCAUUAACAUAUAUUGAUGGGCAUCUCCAUAGCUCGUUGGUACGCCUAGUUGAUGUGAGAUUAUAUUCUCCACUUUUUACCCCUUUGAUAUCUACGACCAUAUUCUAUUCCACCUAUAUGCUAUCUCCAAUGGUUCACACUCAUGUAUUGCGUGAAGAAUAAAAAGUUGAUGUGUAUUGAAAAAUUAUGAUCCAAUUGCCUGACUUGAACACCGUGGUGCUUAACAUUUGUAUUUAUGUGGUGAAGACGGAUUCAUGCCUAGCUAAUACAAUUAAGAUGAAUAGGGGGUAAACAUUCUUUUAGGAUCGUAUACUUUUAAAAUCAAUAAUUGUGUUUCUUAUACUUAAUAAAUAUUAUUAUGUUGUUGUUUGUUAAUUCAUCAUUUCUCAGUGAUCAUACAUACAAGAGAUUACAUUAUGGAUAACAUGUCAAAUCAAAAAAAUCUGUUUUUAUCAUUUACCUACUCGAGGACGAGUAGGAAUUAAGCUUAGGGAUGUUGAUACGUCUCCAACGUAUCUAUAGUUUUAGAUUGUUCCAUGCUGAUAUAUUAUCAUUCUAGGAUACAUUUUGGGCAUUUAAAUACCAGUUUAUAAUAUUUUUGAGCACUAACCUAUUGACCCAGUGCCCAGUGCCAGUUCCUGUUUUUUGCGUGUUUCUUGCUUUGCGGGUUUACCCUACCAAACAAAGUCCAAAUUCCAUGAAACUUUAAUAUGAUUUUUUCUGGACUAUAUGAAGACUUGCAAUCAUCAGAAGUGGAUGAGGGGCCGCACGAGGGAGGCACAAGCCAACAGGGCGCAACCCAGGGCUUGGUCGCGCCCUGAUGGCUUGUGGCCCCCUGGAUGCCUCUCGACGUCCCUCUCUCUCCUAUAAAUUCACAAAUAUUCCGAAAACCCUAAGAGCACUCCCGAAACACUUUUUCCGCCACCACAAGUCCGUGUUCCCACGGGAGGCCAUCUAAACCUCCGUUCCGGUGAUCUGCCUGAGGGGAGAUCAAUCACGGAGGACCUCUACAUCAACCUUGCUGCCCUCACCAUGAUGUGUGAGUAGUUCACCACAAACCUACAGGUUCGUAUGUAGUACCUAGAUGGAAAUCUAUCUCUCUUAUGAUCUUCAAUACCAUGUUCAUCGCAUUUUCGCUUUGAUCUAUCCGAUGUAAUCACUAUGUAUGGUGUGUUUGUUGGGAUCCGAUGAAUUGUGGGUUUAUGCUCAGAUUAUUCAUGAAAAGUAUUUGAGUCACCUGUGAUUAUUAUGAUUCUUAACUGCACGAUCAUCAUAGCUUCGUAAUUCUCUCCGAUCUAUUGAGAUGGUUUGGCCAACUAGAUUAAUAUUUCUUCAGUGGCAGUGGUGCGUUGUAGUAGGUUCAACCUGACGAAUUUUUGUAUCCCACUAACAGAAGGGGACAAGAUGCGUCUUUGUGUUGCUGCUACUAAGGAUAAAACGAUCGGGUUUAUUCAUAUUAAUUGAGUUUACUUUUUCUACAUCAUGUCAUUUUUCUCCAAGCAUUACUCUGUUUUUACUUAAUGCAUAGAGAGGCAAGCAUAGAAGCGCUCUUGAAGUAGAGUAAUAGUAAUAGGUGCACGCAGGAGUCGGCCUAUUUGUUUAUGGACGUGAUGCCUAUAUACACUGUUGGAAUUAUGCCCUAGAGGCAAUAAUAAAUGUAUAGUUAUUAUUAUAAUUCCUGUAUCAAGAUGAUAGUUUAUUAUCCAUGCUAUAAUUGUAUUGAAUGAAGACUCAUUUACAUGUGUGGAUACAUAGACAAAACUCCGUCCCUAGCAUGCCUCUAGUUGGCUAGCCAGUUGAUCGAUGAUAGUUAGUGUCUUCUGAUUAUGAACAAGGUGUUGUUGCUUGAUAACUGGAUCACGUCAUUAGGAGAAUCACGUGAUGGACUAGACCCAAACUGAUAGACAUAGCAUGUUGAUCGUGUCAUUUUGUUGCUACUGUUUUCUGCGUGUCAAGUAUUUAUUCCUAUGACCAUGAGAUCAUAUAACUCACUGACACCGGAGGAAUGCUUUGUGUGUAUCAAACGUCGCAGCGUAACUGGGUGACUAUAAAGAUGCUCUAUAGGUAUCUCCGAAGGUGUUGGUUGAGUUAGUAUGGAUCAAGACUGGGAUUUGUCACUCCGUGUGACGGAGAGGUAUCUCGGGGCCCACUCGGUAAUACAACAUCACACACAAGCCUUGCAAGCAAUGUGACUUAGUGUAAGUUACGGGAUCUUGUAUUACGGAACGAGUAAAUAUACUUGCCGGUAAACGAGAUUGAAAUAGGUAUACGGAUACUGACGAUCGAAUCUCGGGCAAGUAACAUACCGAAGGACAAAGGGAAUGACAUACGGGAUUAUACGAAUCCUUGGCACUGAGGUUCGAACGAUAAGAUCUUCGUAGAAUAUGUAGGAUCCAAUAUGGGCAUCCAGGUCCCGCUAUUGGAUAUUGACCGAGGAAUCUCUCGGGUCAUGUCUACAUAGUUCUCGAACCCGCAGGGUCUGCACACUUAAGGUUCGACGUUGUUUUAUGCGUAUUUGAGUUAUAUGGUUGGUUACCGAAUGUUGUUCGGAGUCCCGGAUGAGAUCACGGACGUCACGAGGGUUUCCGGAAUAGUCCGGAAACGAAGAUUGAUAUAUAGGAUGACCUCAUUUGAUUACCGGAAGGUUUUCGGAGUUACCGGGAAUGUACCGGGAAUGACGAAUGGGUUCCGGGAGUUCACCGGAGGGGGGCAACCCACUCCGGGGAAGCCCAUAGGCAUUUGGGGGGGUCACACCAGCCCUUAGUGGGCUGGUGGGAUAGCCCACCAAUCCCCUAUGCGCCAAGAGAGAAAAAAUCAAAGGAAAGAAAAAAAAGGAAGAAGUGGGAAGGGGGAAGGACUCCCUCCCACCAAACCAAGUAGGACUCGGUUUCGGGGGGGGGAGAGUCCUCCCCCCUGGCUCGGCCGACCCCUUGGGGAUCCCUUGGACCCCAAGGCAAGGUCCCCCUCCCUCCUCCUAUAUAUAUGGGGCUUUUAGGGCAGAUUUGAGACGACUUUCUCACGGCUGCCCGACCACAUACCUCCAUAGUUUUUCCUCUAGAUCGUGUUUCUGCGGAGCUCGGGCGGAGCCCUGCUGAGAUAAGAUCAUCACCAACCUCCGGAGCGCCGUCACUCUGCCGGAGAACUCUUCUACCUCUCCGUCUCUCUUGCUGGAUCAAGAAGGCCGAGAUCAUCGUCGAGCUGUACGUGUGCUGAACACGGAGGUGCCGUCCGUUCGGUACUAGAUCGUGGGACUGAUCGCGGGAUUGUUCGCGGGGCGGAUCGAGGGACGUGAGGACGUUCCACUACAUCAACCGCGUUCUCUAACGCUUCUGCUGUGCGAUCUACAAGGGUACGUAGAUCACUCAUCCCCUCUCGUAGAUGGACAUCACCAUGAUAGGUCUUCGUGCGCGUAGGAAAUUUUUUGAUUCCCAUGCGACGUUCCCCAACAUACACAUGAUCAUUGCCAUGAAAAUCGCGUAAUUAUUCGUUGUUCUAUCAAUUGUCCAACAAUAAUUUCUUUACCCACCAUAUGCCUUUGCCUUGAGAGAUGCCACUAGGGACCACUACGACCCCCUUGUCUAUUCACUUAUAUAUUUGCAAACGCUACUACUACCAUGCUGCCAUUAUUUGUAUUUUAUUUUAUUUUUCAAUUUACAAUUAUCAAAAAUUAUCUACACACCUCAUUUGCUUGCGAAUAACAAGAUCAAGGGGAUUGACAACCCUCUUGCCCGUGUUGGGUGCAAGUUGUUUGUUUCUUUGUGUGCAGUCGCUGAAGACAGUUGAGGAUUGGUAUUCCUAUUGGUUCGAUAAACCUUGGUUUCAUAACUGAGGGAAAUACUUACCCACAUUGUGUUGUGAUAACCCAUUCCUCUUCACGGAAAACCCAAUGCACAUUACGGUCAUCAACGAUGCUUGCACUCAGCCACGUCGUUCUGAGCAUGAGCACCAGUACAAGAGAACUGAGCAAGAGUACCCUGCUCGGCAGUAAAUCCACGCAACAUCUUGGAGAUAUACUCUCCGCCAUAGUCAGCACGGAACACACGAAUAGGCGUAGAGAAAUGAGUGUGAACCAUGGUAGCAAAACGUUUAUAGAUAGAUAAAACCUCACUACAAAAAGACAUGAAAUAUAUCCACGUGUGUCGAGAGAAAUCAUAUAUAAAGAUAAUAUAGUAGCGAUGGCCUACCUUUAAGUCAAAGGGAGUUGGACCCCAGAUAUCAGAGUACAAGGUCAAAAGGACGCUGAGACAUAGUCUUUCUAUGAGGAUAAGGUAACUGAACCUGUUUACCAAGCCGGCAACCCUGACAGUCUAAAGACACACCGUCGGAGACGGAUCCUAGAAGACCGUGUCGAACAAAGGAUGAGAGAUGAGAUUCACAUAUGUGACCCAGGCGAUGAUGCCACUGCUCAAAAGAGCUGGUAGACAAGGCAACUGAGGUAGAGAGAUUGGCGUCGAUGGCAGCAGAUGGAAGGUGAAGCCAGUCAAGCUCCCAGAGACCCUGAGAAUCAUGGUGCAGGGGGCAGUACCAAGAAGAGCACCAGUGUGACGGUCCAAAACGGAACAUGAGUCAAAGUCUAGAAUGACCCGACAACCAGAGUCCACAAUAUGAUCACUAGAAAGAAGUUGGAUCGUUAGUCGAAAAACAUGAGGUACAUCAGGAACAUGACAUGAUGAGGUGAUGAAUCAUGAGUCAUAUGAAAAGAUGCUCCAGUAUCAAGACUCCAUGGAGAUGUACCUGACUGUGUAGAAGGUGAUAUCACAAUGCCAAAAGAGUAAGUAGUAGAACCAGCAGAACCCGUCGAUGAAGAGCCAGAUGACGUGGCUAGCAGGCCCCAAAGUCGCAUAAUAUCCUGCUCAGUCAGGGGAUCAACUGAAGAGGUCGAUGUAGAUGCACCCAGUAAUGAAGAGAUGGAGGCCGACAGCAGACCACGAAGUCGCACAAUCGCCUUCUCAGUGAAGUACAUAGUUGAAGUGGUCGAUGCAGUAGCAUCGGAAGAGGAGAAGCCACCACCACCCAUGGAAGCCGCUAGAUGUGGUGGUCUAGAAUAACGAGCAGCAUCCAGAAGGGCCGAUGGAGGAGACAAGGGCACACACAUACAAGCCCCAAGUGCCAAGGGAAGGAGCAUGUCGAUGGAGUCAUAUGCACUAACACGGUCGAUGAGAGGAGUCGGUGUAGGGUGACAAUCACCGGUAGAAGUCACAGGUGGAGUCGAUGUAGAUCAACAAUCACCAUGUGCAGAGGUUGCAAGUGUCAUAGAAGAGGGACCCGCACAGUCGGCGGAAGGCAGUAGAGAGAACGGCAUCAGAGAUGGACGAGCACCAUGCUGCACCAAGAAACGACGCAUGGGUGAGAUGGAAUCAAGGUAGGGAACACCCUCAAAUGCCACGGAUGGACAAGCCGAAGGCACCUUUUUUUGUUUUUUACACUAAAAUAUAACCAGUGAAAUCAGCCCAAAAGAAGAGUAUCUAGCGGGCCGACCGGAGAUCGAAACCAGAAGCAGCAGCGACACCCAGGGCACCACACGCAACCUAAUCGCUCAACGAAUAUGUAGUGAUGCACACAUGGAUGCAAUAGACCAACUCGUAAGGAGGAGAGGCAACCUAGCAGAAGCACGCAAAGCAAGCAACAGCUUCAGGAAGGACGUGUUAAGCUUCAUGCACUAGCCAACACAACUAACAGCCUGAACCGAUGGAAAGGGCUAGUGAAAUCCACAUAUACUAUUACAUCCCCUCUCACGUGUGAUGGGGAAGACAAGUCAACACGUGCAACCGGAAGAGAGCAACAGCAUGUGAAACUCACGUAUGACUCAAGAGGCCUCUACAUGGACACAAAGGGGGUACUAUCUAUUUUUUAAAUAAAUUGCGAAAGACAGGACUUGAACUCAAGACCUUAGCUGUGAUACCAUGUUAAGCUUCAUGCACUAGACAACACAACAAAAAGUACAAACUUUUGAAAAGGGCUAGUGCAAUCCACAUAUAUUGUAAGAGGACGCACGGGGCAACAAGGCUAGUGGAGAGCAACGGUACGGGCGGACCAACUAGUGAGAUCCGAAUGAGGCGGACGAUACAUAGCCCCUCAGACCGAUCUAAAGACAUGGACGCGUCCUUGUGCAUCUCUUCGUGAUCUGAACGGAACAAGGCACUAGCUCCGCGACAAACGGGGAAUAUAUACGACAGGGGAGUUGACCUCUAGGAAGCGGGAUCCAACAGUUUGCGGGGUGAGUGAAGUUGUGUCCCUGCAUGGAUGAGGAAGACCGGCUCAUGCAUGCAGGGCGUGUGCGAGCAGAUCGGAACAACAAUCGUCCAGAGAGAGAAAUACCGAUGCAGGAGUGGAAAUAGCAACCGGUCGGAGUAGUAGCAACGGCAGGCGAGAAAAUUGGAUGGGAAGAUGACGAGUUGCGCAUAUGAUAAAAAACUCUAGAACUCUAAUACCAUGUUAGGAAUUAUGCAACUUGUAUUCCCAUGGGGCCAUAGGCGAGAAUAUAUACAUGUACUGUAAGUGCAUCUAGUGCCCUUAGUGAUUUUGGUGGUUUGAAGACUUAUAGGUUAAGUAACUAAUGUGUUUAUAAGUGUCACAGGCUCUAUAAGUCGCUGAGGAAUUUGAGUUAUACGAUGAAUAUCGACCCCUAAAAAUGUAUGUCUUCGGCUGAAGAAAUUGGUGUAAGCUUGAAGACUUUGAUCACGAAGAAAUUGCGAUGAAAUUGAUAUUCCUCAAGAAGAUAUUGAAGAUGAGGAAUUCGAUGGUUCCUAAUGAAAUACUGUCUGAAGACUUCGAAGCGUGAAGACUUACUCUUUUUGUUUCGUUGUCUUUACUAUUGAGUCUUAGGAAUACCGUACUGUUAAAGGGGGUCGAGGUAAUACCACGGAAUGAAUUUCCUCAUGAUGCUCAACCCAAGCCUAAACCUAUCAAAGCCUCAAAGUGAGGAAUAUGAUAGACAUGAGGACUUUCACAGUUGAAAGUUCCGACCGUUUUUUUUUGACCGGCUACUGUAGGGAAAACCCCCCACAGCCUUUUUUCUUUUAUUCCCAUAUACAAGAGUAAUAUGUACAAGAAGAAGUUAGAAUGUACAAAGGGGAUGGGUAGCUAUGGGUACAAACCUCAAGGAGGCAAAAAGGAAAUCCAUUUAAGGAGAUCAUCCCUGAAACUAGCCUUAAUCUAUGAGCUAACAGGGAAAUGUCAUGGAUGAAGCCAAAUCUCCAUUUUCUGAACCUUGACUGCUCCUGGUUAAACACCUUGGCAUUUCUGACAGUCCAGAUGUUCCAACAUGCGGUGAAGACCACCUCAACUAAAAAGGGGUUGUGGAAGUCUCUCUUAGCUGUUACAGCAGCGCUCCACAUGGAUGUGCCCUGCCAUGUGAUCUACAGGUAGGUCCAGACCCUGGUGCUGAAAAGAAAGUUGAAAAAUAAGUGAUCUCUGUCUUCUUUAACACUGGCAUGGCAUAGAACACAGAGAUUGGAGUCUGAAACAAUCCAGUGACGCCGUUCAAGCAUGUCUUGGGUGUUAAGCCUAUCCAUGAUGAGCAUCCAGGCAAACAUCUUGAUCUUCAUUGUACAACAGCUCCUCCAUAUCCAGUUUAGCAAGGGGUUUGGUGUAAUAGUGUUGUGAAUAUGAAUAUAUUAUCUCUUGGCUGUGUAGGCCUUAGCAUCCUUUCCCCAUACCCAUCUGUCAGAGGCCUGGGGAUCAAUAUCCAGGGCUUGAGGCAGGGAGUUGACUGAAAGUAGCUCCUGGUAAGCUUGAUCAGAGAGGAGCAAGUGGAACAUGGAGAGCAUACUUUCAUCAUAAAAAGCUUUAAAAACUUCCUCAGUUGUGCUGAAAGUAUCAACAACAAAGGAGAAUAGCCUUUGAAAUCUUGUAGCCAGAGGCCUAGUAGAGUUUCCUACCAACCAGGAGUCAGACCAAAACAAGAAAGUGUCACCCUUGUUAGGCUGAACAUAUGUAACUGAUCUGAACUUGUCAAGCCUUUUGCAGAUAUCCUUCCACCAAAAAGAACCACAAAGAGCAGUUCCCUGAGGUACUGUGUUAUGAUAGUAAGUGUUCCAGAUUAAGUGAACCCAUGGGAUAUCAGCAUGAUUCAGAAAUUUAUCAACAUUCUUGAGCAGCAGGGCUUCAUUCUGGAUUGCGAGAUUCAUAAUUCCUAAUCCCCCUUUAUUUUUGGGUCUGCACACCAGCUUCCAGGCAUCAAGAGAGGGUGCGUGAUCUUGCCCAUUUUUCCUCCAGAGACAUUGCCUCUGAAUUCUUUCAAGCUGCUUUAGUAUGCCUGGUGGGAUAUCCACACUGCAUAGGAAGAAAAUAGGAACAGAUGACAGUGCUGAGUUUAAAUAUUGUAACCUACCCCCCCCCCCGGGCCACGGAAAGAUGAAGUAGCACUGAGCCUUCUUUCCAUGUUGUCAACCAGUGGCAUGAGAUCAAUGAUUCUUGGUUUAGUUGUCCCAACUGGAAGGCCAAGGUAUGUGAAGGGCAAAGAUCCCACUUUGCAGCCAAUGGAGUCUGCUAGGUCUUGGAGUUGUUGUGGAGAAGUGUUGACACGCAGAAGGGCAGAUUUGUGAUAAUUCACUUGUAGUCCAGUGCAUUGGGAGAAAAGCAAGAGCAUUUUCUUGAACUGUAACAGUUGAGUUUCAUCAGCAGGGAGGAUGAUAAGGGUAUCAUCAGCAUAUUGGACUAUAUGGAAAUCCUUAUCAUGACAAGGGAUGGACAGCUGAAUCAGUCCCUCCAUCAGCAGUUGGUUAACCAAGGUCUGUAAAAAAUCCGCAGCAAUUGCAAAAAGCAGUGGGGACAUGGGAUCUCCCUGCCUGACCCCUUUCUUGCACAUAAAUUUCUUUCGAGGCACACCAUUGACCAGGACAGAAGAAGAGCCAAAAGUUAGGAGCUGCUGUACCCAAAGUAUCCAUUUAUCAUUGAAUCCUUUGUGUUUGAGAAUCUGAAAGAUGAACUCAUGUUCCACAGAAUCAAAUGCCUUUUCAAAAUCCAGCUUGAGAAUAACUAUUGGUUUCUUGGAUUGAUGGCAUUGGUGCAGGUAUUCCAGGGUCCACCCAACACAAUCUUGAAUGGUUCUAGACUUGAUAAAGCCAUACGGAUUCUUGUGAAUACACUUCAUGAUCUGCAACUGCAACCUAUUGGCUAUCAUUUUGGACAGAAACUUGAGGCCCAUCCUAGUGAGGGAUAUUGGUCUGUAGUCUCCCACUUGCUCAGGUGAUCUCUUCUUGGGAAUCAAAGUGAUAUAAGAUGAGUUCAUGUUCUCAAGUUGAGCAGUACCAGCAUGAAAGGCAGCAGCAAGUUGAUAAAACUUAGGAGAAAUAAUGGACCAGCAUUUCUUAAAGAAAAGGCCAUUGAAACCAUCAGGUCCAGGAGCUUUGUCAAUGGGCAUUUCCUGAACAGUCUUGUCCAUUUCAGACUUAGAAAAAGGUUGUGUGAGAACAUCCAGACCCUCCACCUUCUGAAGCAGAGAUUUUAAAUCAAAGGCCAUGUUAAUUCCAAGGGAAGUUCCCAUUCUAUCCUUAAAGGAUGCCCAAAAGCAUGCAACAAUUUGAUCAUGGUCAGAUAUGAUGGAUCCAUCAUUUAGCUUGAGAGAGGCAAUGGAGUUCCUCCUAUAUCUCUCAGUUGCCAUAGCAUGAAAGAAUUUGGUGUUUCCCUCACCAACUUUAACAAAUUGAAAGUUCCGACCGUUGGCGCGACACGCACCACCUCACUGAUCUUAUCCACGCAACGGUCACAAUAGUUAAGGGCAUUUAUGUCAAAUCAUGUCGGGAUUCUCCCAGGCUAUAAAAAGCCGCCCCCCACAACCACUAGCUGGUUAACUGCUCCGCAAGAAACUGACACUUGUCACUUAGAGCAACCCAAAUUCCUCAGAGUCUUCGGGAGUAAAUCAUCAAGUGAGGAAAUACCCCAAACACCAAACCACAAACCAAAAACCAAGUGAUUGAACAUCACUGAAGAAUUUGUUCCUGUGUGGAACUGAAGCCUUUUACCUUUGAGGACUGUGCAUCCUCCAGACGGUUAGGCGUCAUGGUCUAGAGCAUCCAGCAGUCAAUUGUAGAUCGUCGGGUGACUGAGUUUGUGAGGGUUUGUAAGUUUUCCCUGAAGACUUACCACGAGUGUUGGGCGAGGACUAUGUAUCCUUAGCUCAAGGAGAAUACAGUAGGGACUGUGUGUCCUUUGGUUUCAAUACCAAGCCGCUCCAAACUAGAUGUACGACUGUCACAGCAGUUGGAACUGGGUCAUCAACAACUUUCUUCAUCGUGAUACGGGUUCUAUUUCUUCAACUCUUUCAAUUCCUCAAUAUUGUAUGUUGAAGACUUUCAUUGCCUCUGUUUGAAGAAUUUGCUGAAGACUUUCUCUGAAUUUCCUCAACCUCAAAUUCUUCAUAGCAGUUAAUCUUCACCUGCUUAUUCUGUGUCUGCAUACUGUGCAAACCGAUUCGCUUAAUCUUCAUCAAGAAAACCGUUGUUGUAAUUUUUGCACCUCUGAUCCUACGCUAUUUCCCCUGCACGUUAUUCAUCAGUGAGUUAUUUCCUCAAAAGGAAUUUCCUCAGCUAUGAAAUUCUAAAAAUCGCCUAUCCACCGCCCUCUAGUCGAUAUAACGCACUUUCAAUUGGUAUCAAAGCAAGGUACUUCCUUGUUGUGUGUGAUUUUUGUUUAACCACCUGGAGUUUUAGUUAUGUUGACUACAGGUAUGAUCAAGGUUACUGCAGGAUGUCCUACCUUCGAAGGAAAGGACUUUUCCUACUGGAAUACUAAGAUGCAGAUGCAUCUUCAGGCUAUUGACAAUGAUCUCUGGUACAUUGUGGAACAUGGUGUUCCCUCCAUCACUGCUACUGUCUCUACCGCUGAUGUGAAGAAAUUCAAGCAACUUGAUUACCAAGCGAAGAAUAUCAUCUGUGGCCAUCUGAGCAAAGGUCAGUAUGGCAGAGUGAGUGCUUUGGCACAACUAAGAUUAUCUGGGAUAGGUUGUCCAAAGUCAAUGAAGGAAUUUCAACUCACCAUGACUCUCGUGUUGAUGUUCUUCGCAAUCUCUUCAAUCGCUUCAAGAGACUUGACAAUGAAAGCUUCCAAGAUACCUUUGAUCGCCUCACUGACAUCUCAAAUGAACUGCAAGCACUGGGAGCUCGAAACAUCACUGACCUUGAAGUUGUGAAGAAACUGCUAAGAUCUCUGGAUCCAUCAUUUGAUACAUUGGUUCUGAUGAUUCAAGAAAGAGAAGACUAUAAGAUGCUUGAUCCUGCUGAUAUACUCGAAAGACUCAAUACUCAUGAAUUCCAACAGGAAGAAAAGAGAGAUUUGUAUGGACCAAGCUACUCUAGACCUCGUGCGCUAAAGGCCAAAGCAAUUUCCUCAUUUGAAGAAGAAGACUCAUAUUGCAGCAUUGGCGAUCCUGAAGAACUUGGACAGGAGCUUGCAAUGCUCAUGAGAAAAUUUCAGAAGUUUACAAGGCAUGACUAAUACGUCUGUAACGUAUCUAUAAUUUUUGAUGGUUUCAUGCUAUUAUGUUGUCAAACUUUGGACGUUUUGUAUGCCUUUUAUAUAUUUUUUGGGACUAACCUAUUAACUCAGUGCCAAGUGCCAGUUCCUGUUUUUUCCAUGUUUUUUACCCCUUUCAGAGGAGGAUUUUAAACGGAGUCCAAAUGGAAUGAAACUUCCAAAAAGAUUUUUUCCGAAACAGAAAAAGAUCGGGAAGCCGGAGAAUCAAGGCAGGGGCCCUCCAAGGACCCCAUAAGCCCUCAUGGCGCGGCCAGGGGGCCGCGCCACCCUUGCUUGUGGGCUCCCCGGGCCACCUCUGCCCUAGGUUUUGCGCCUAUAUAUUCCCUAAAAUCGCAGAAAAAACACGAGAUCAUCGAAAGUACUUUUCCGCCGCCAAAAGCUUUUGUCUCCGCAAGAUCCCAUCUAGGGCACGUUCUGGUGCCCUGCAGGAGGGGCGAUUCGGACACGGAGGGCUUCUUCAUCAACACCAUGACCUCUCCGAUGAUGCGUGAGUAGUUCACCAUAGACCUACGGGUCCAUAGCUAGUAGCUAGAUGGCUUCUUCUCUCACUUGGAUCUUCAAUACAAAGUUCUCCAUGAUCUUCAUGGAGAUCUAUCCGAUGUAAUCUUCUUUUGCGGUAUGUUUGUCGAGAUCCGAUGAAUUGUAGAUUUAUGAUCAGAUUAUCUAUGAAUCUUAUUUGAGUUUCUUCUGAUCUCUCUUAUGCAUGAUUUCAUAUCCUUGUAAUUGUCUUCGAGUUGUGGGUUUUGUUUGGCCAACUAGAUCUAUGAUUCUUGCAAUGGGAGAAGUGCUUGUUUUGGGUUCAUACCGUGCGGUGACCUCACCCAGUGACAGAAUGGGUAGCGAGGCAAGCAUCAUGUUGUGGCCAUCAAGGGUAAAAAGAUGGGGUUUUCAUCAUUGGUUUGAGAUUAUUCCUCUACAUCAUGUCAUCUUGCUUAAGGCGUUACUCUGUUCGUCAUGAACUCAAUACACUAGAUGCAUGCUGGAUAGCGGUCGAUGUGUGGAGUAAUAGUAGUAGAUGCAGAAAGUAUCGGUCUACUUGUCUUGGACGUGAUGCCUAUAUGUCUGAUCAUUGCCUUAGAUAUCGUCAUGACUUUGCGCAGUUCUAUCAAUUGUUCGACAGUAAUUUGUUCACCCACCGUAAUACUUGCUAUUUUGAGAGAAGCCUCUAGUGAACACUAUGGCCCCCGGGUCUAAUCCACACCAUAUUUUCAGCCUUACACUUUUUCUUUGUUGCACUUUCUGCCGUCUUAUCUCACUUUGCAAUCAAUCUUGAAGGGAUUGACAACCCCUUUAAAGCGUUGGGUGCAAGCUCUUUUGUGUUUGCGCAGGUACUCUGGACUUGACGAGAUUCUCCUACUAGAUUGAUACCUUGGUUCUCAAACUGAGGGAAAUACUUACUGCUCCUGUGUUGCAUCACCCUUUCCUCUUUAAGGGAAAAACCAACGCAAUCUCAAGACACGACAGAAGGAUCUCUGGCACCAUUGCUAGGGAAGGACUUUUGUCGCCGUAGCAGAAGGAUUUCUGGCGCCGUUUCCGGGGAGGAUCAAGUCAAGAACUCAUCCAAGUAGGUGUCGCAAACUCAUCUCUUGCAUUUACUUUGUUUGCCAGUUGCCUCUCGUUUUCCUCUCCCCCACUUCACAAUUUGCCUUUUUUCGUUUGCCCUUUUCUCUCGCUUGCUUUCUGUUCGCUUGUGUGCCAUUUGCCUUCAAUAUGCUUGCAUCUUCGCUUGCGAAAAAUCUAGUGAUAUGGAUCCUCAUCCACUUGCUAAUCUCUUUAAGAGAUCCAAUUAUGUUGAUCCAAUUGCUAGUGAGUUGAAUGCACUUGACUAUCUUUAUGGAGUUUUGCUUGAGAUGCGUGAAUCUGAGAAUUGUGAGGAAGAAAUUUAUGAAGUGAUUCACGAGGGCUCCUUGGAUGAAAAGCAUGAUUGCAAUGGUUUCACUAUAAAUUAUAUUAGCGACAAUCAUGCCAAAAAUAUGCAGAACCCUAAGCUUGGGGAUGCUAGUUUUGCUAUGUCCAUUACUGGUUGCAAUGAUCAUGAUUGGGGUGAUGAUUUUUCUUAUGAUCUUGAAAAUUUGUUUAAGCCUCAUGAUGAAUAUGAUGUUUGCAAUAUUAUUGAAAGUGGGUUUGGAGACGUCAUGACUUUAGUUGAUGAUAAUCCCACUAUUUUUGAAGAGCGUCAACUUUGCAUGCAUGUGGAUCAUGAAAAGACUAUCCUAUGUGAUAGAUAUAUUGUUUAAUUUGAAUAUGAUCCCACAUGUAAUGAGAGAGGAAAAUAUUGUGGUAGAAACUUCCAUAUCACUAAAUUACCUCUCGUUAUGUUGAGAUUGAUAUUGUCUCUUUCUUCUUCCUUGCAUAUGGUAACUAUUGGUUGUCGUGACAAUUUGUUUUUCUAUAAAAUGCCUAUGCAUAGGAAGUAUGUUAGACUUAGAUGCGAUUUUCACAUGCUUUAUGAUGCUCUUGUUGUGCUUCAAUUCUUGUCUUUUGUGUGAGCAUCAUUGAAUUAUCAAUGCCUAGCUAAGGGUGUUAAACAAUAGCGCUUGUUGGGAGGCAACCCAAUGAAUUUAUCUUUUUCUUUCUGUUUUGUUGCGUCCACACUUUCACAAUUCUAUUGUGAUUGUGUUUUUUGUGUUUCUUUUUGUGUUUGAGCCAAGCAAAACCUUUAUGACUAGUCUUGGUAAUGGUUGUUUGAUCCUGCUGGAAAAAGAUAGAAAGUUUUCGCUCGCGAGAUGAUUCUUCAUUUUUAUUCAGAAAGACAUUUUGAGUUGAUUCUUUUUGCUGCUGGUUGAUAUGCCUUUGGCCUAGGCAGUCAUAAUUGUUCAGAAGUUUUGAGGUACCAGAAGUAUACGAAGUAUACAGAUUGCUCCAGACUGGUCUGUUUUUGACAGAUUCUGUUUUUUUUGAGUUGGUUGCUUGUUUUGAUGAAACUAUGGUUAGUAUGGGGGGGGGUAUUAGCCAUGGAAAAGUGAGAAUACAGUAUCCCAACACCAAUAUAUAUAGAAUUCAAGUUUGCUACAGUACCAAAAGAGGUGGUAGUUUGUUUUCUUGUGCUAAUGUUAUCACGAGUUUCUGUUUAAGUUUUGUGUUGUGAAGUUUUCAAGUUUUGGGUGAUGUUCUCAUGGACAAAGAGAUAAGGAGUGGAAAGAGCUCAAGCUUGGGGAUGCCCAAGGCAUCCCAAGCCAAAUUCAAGGACACCAAAAAGCCUAAGCUUGGGGAUGCCCCGGGAAGGCAUCCCCUCUUUCCUCUUCAAUCCAUCGGUAACAUUACUUGGAGCUAUAUUUUUAUUCACCACAUGAUAUGUGUUUUGCUUGGAGUGUCUUGUAUCAUAGGAGUCUUUUCUUUUUGUUGUGUCACAAUCAUCCUUGCUGCACACCUUUUUUAGAGAGAGAGACAUGCACUCAUCUUGAUUUUUGCUAGAAUGCUCAUAGUGCUUCACUUAUAUCUUUUGAGCUUGAUAAUUUUGCUCUAUGUGCUUCACUUAUAUCUUUUAGAGCACGGCGGUGCGUGACUUGGUAGUUGGCUUAUGCUAUGAAAGUAGUCCCAAAGGUGAUAGGUACCCAAAGAGGAUACAAAAACCUCCAUCUUCAUGUGCAUUGAGUAGAAAGAGAAGUUUUGAUUCCUCUCAAAUAGUUUUCAGACGUGGAAUUGGUAAUAUUAAGAGUUAUGUUAGUAGGGUGUUGUGAAUCUAGAAAUACGUGUGUUGAAGUUAGUGAUUCCCGUAGCAUGCACGUAUGGUGAACCGCUAUGUUAGAAAGUCGGAGCAUAAUUGAUCUAUUGAUUGUCAUCCUUUGUGUUGAGGUCGGGAUCGCGCGAUGGUUAACACCUACCAACCCUUCCCCUCGGAGUAUGCGUUUAGCACUUUGUUUCGAUUACUAAUAAAAAAUUUCACAACAAGUAUGUGAGUUCUUCAUGACUAAUGUAAGUCCAUGGUAUAGAUGCACUUUCACCUUCCACUACUGCUAGCCUCUCUAGUGCCGCGCAACUUUCGCCGAUACACAAACCCACCAUAUGCCUUCCUCAAAACAGCCACCAUACCUACCUACUAUGGCAUUUUCAUAGCCAUUCGGAGAUAUAUUGCCAUGCAACUCCCACCGUUCCGUCUCAUGACUUGUGCCGUCACUCUCAUAUUGCCAUUGCAUGAUCGUAAGAUAGCUAGCGAGAUGUUUCAACGCCAUACGCCAAGCUAGAUCGUUGCACAUCCCGGUACACAACCAGAGGCAUUUCCUAUAGAGUCAUUUCUAAGCUUUGAGCUGUGAGUAAAUAAAAGUGUGAUGAUCAUCAUUAGAGCAUUGUCCCAUGUGAGGAAAUAAAAAAAGAGGCCAAAGAGCCAAAAUAAAAAAAAGAGAAAAGAGAAAAAAGAGGCCCAAGAGCCCAAAUAAAAAAGAGAGAAAAAGAGAGAAGGGACAAUGCUACUAUCUUUUUCCACACUUGUGCUUCAUACUAGCACCAUGUUCUUCAUGAUUGAGAGCUUCUUGCUUUGUCAUUACCAUAUGCUAGUGCGAAUCUUCAUUAUAUAACUUGGCUUGUAUAUUCCAAUGAUGGGCUUCCUUAAAAUUUCCCUAGGUCUUCGUGAGCAAGCAAGUUGGAUGCACACCCACUAGUUCUACUUUUGAGCUUUCACACACUUAUAGCUCUAGAGCAUCAUUUGUAUGACAAUCCCUACUCAUUCACAUUGAUAUCUAUUAAUGGGCAUCUACAUAGCCUUUUGAUACGCCGAGUCAAUGUGACCAUCUCCUCCUUUUUGUCUCACAACCACCACCACACUCUAUUCCACCUAUAGUGCUAUAUCCAUGGCUCGCGCUCAUGUAUUGCGUGAUAGUUAUAAAAAGUUUGAGAAAGUAAGAGUGCGAAAACAAUUACUUGGCCAAUACCGGGGUUGUGCAUGAUUUACAUUAGUUGUGUGAGGAUGAUGGAGCAUAGCCAGACUAUAUGAUUUUGUAGGGAUAACUUUCCUUGGCCUUGUUAUUUUGAAAGUUCAUGAUUACCUUGCUAGUUUGCUUGAAGUAUUAUUGUUUUCAUGUCAAUAGCAAACUAUUGUUUUGAAUCUUACGGAUCUGAACAUUCAUGUCACAUGAAAGAAGUUGCAAAGGACAACUAUGCUAGGUAGCAUUCCACAUCAAAAAUUCAUUCUUUAUCACUUCCCUACUCGAGGACGAGCAGGAGUUAAGCUUGGGGAUGCUUGAUACGUCUCCAUCAUAUCUAUAAUUUUUGAUGGUUUCAUGCUAUUAUCUCGUCAAACUUUGGACGUUUCGUAUGCCUUUUAUAUAUUUUUUGGGACUAACCUAUUAACUCAGUGCCAAGUGCCAGUUCCUGUUUUUUCCAUGUUUUUUACCCCUUUCAGAGGAGGAUUUUAAACGGAUUCCAAACGGAAUGGAACUUCCAAAAAGAUUUUUUCCAAAACAGAAAAAGAUCGGGAAGCCAGAGAAUCAGGGCAGGGGGCGUGCAGGGCCCCACAAGCCCUCAUGGCGCGGCCAAGGGGGCCCGCACCACCCUGGCUUGUGGGCUCCCUGGGCCACCUCUGCCCUAGGUUUUAUGCCUAUAUAUUCCCUAAAAUCCCAGAAAAAAUCAGGAGAUCAUCGAAAGUACUUUUCCACCGCCGCAAGCUUCUGUCUCCGCAAGAUCCCAUCUGGGGCACGUUCUGGUGCCCUGCCGGAGGGGGGAUUCGGAGACGGAGGGCUUUUUCAUCAACACCAUGACCUCUCCGAUGAUGCGUGAGUAGUUCACCAUAGACCUACGGGUCCAUAGCUAGUAGCUAGAUGGAUUCUUCUCUCUCUUGGAUCUUCAAUACAAAGUUCUCCAUAAUCUUCAUGGAGAUCUAUCCGAUGUAAUCUUCUUUUGCGGUGUGUUUGUCGAGAUCCGAUGAAUUGUGGAUUUAUGAUCAGAUUAUCUAUGAAUCUUAUUUGAGUUUCUUCCGAUCUCUCUUAUGCAUGAUUUCAUAUCCUUGUAAUUCUCUUCGAGUUGUGGGUUUUGUUUGGCCAACUAGAUCUAUGAUUCUUGCCAUGGGAGAAGUGCUUGGUUUUGGGUUCAUAUCGUGCGGUGACCUCACCCACAGACAGAAGGGGUAGCAAGGCACGCAUCCUGUUGUUGUCAUCAAGGGUAAAAAGAUGGGGUUUUCAUCAUUGGUUUGAGAUUAUCCCUUUACAUCAUGUCAUCUGGCUUAAGGUGUUACUCUGUUCGUCAUGAACUCAAUACACUAGAUGCAUGCUGGAUAGAGGUCGAUGUGUGGAGUAAUAGUAGUAGAUGCAAAAAGUAUCUAUCUACUUGUGUCGUACGUGAUGCCUAUAUGUAUGAUCAUUGCCUUAGAUAUCGUCAUGACUUUGCGCGGUUCUAUCAAUUGCUCGACAGUAAUUUGUUCACCCACCGUAAUACUUGCUAUUCUGAGAGAAGCUUCUAGUGAACACUAUGGCCCCUGGGUCUACUCCACACCAUAUUUUCAGCCUUACACUUUUUCUUCGUUGCACUUUCUGCCGCCAGAUCUCACUUUGCAAUCAAUCUUGAAGGGAUUGACAACCCCUUUAAAGCGUUGGGUGCAAGUUCUUUUGUGUUUGCGUAGGUACUCACGAGUUGGAGAGAUUCUCCUACUGGAUUGAUACCUUGGUUCUCAAACUGAGGGAAAUACUUACUGCUCCUGUGCUGCAUCACCCUUUCCUCUUCAAGGGAAAAACCAACGCAAGCUCAAGAGACGACAAAAGGAUCUCUGGCACCAUUGCCAGGGAAGGACUUUUGUUGUUGUAGCAAUGACCAGUUUGGUAAAUCUUCAAGAAGAGAUAUGAGGAAAUCAGAAUCUUCAUCUGAGGACUACAAGAAAAGAACCUUCCACAAAUGCAAGAAAUCUUGUCACUAUAUUGAUUAUUGUCCUCGUUGGGUGAAGGAAUCAAAGAAGAAGAAAUACAAGGAUGAAAGUUCUGAUGACUCGAAGUAAAAGAAGAAAUCUUCAAAAUCCUCAUCCUCAAAGUCCUCAUCGCACAAGAAGACUAGUUUCAGAAAGGCUCAGGCACUCAUUGGCAAGGAAAUGGAUUCUGAGGAAGAAUCUGAAGAAUGUGAUGAAUAGGAAGGUUCUGAAGAAGACUCAAAGUAUGGUGUGUCAAGUCUUGCACUGGCUAGCACAUUCGUCAGCAAGUCAAUCUUCAACCUUGAAGAAAAUGACAACGCCAUCUACACUGAUGAAUAUGUUGAUGACUUCACUCCAACCUAUUGCUUCAUGGCAAAAGGUUCAAAGGUACCGUAUGACACUUCCUCCUCUGGUUCAAGUGACUGUGAACCUGAUGAUUAUAAAAACCCCAGUUAUAGUAAACUUGCCAACACUGCAACUAAACAACAAAGUAGCAUUGAAAAGCUUCAAAAACUGCUAGACAGAAGCGAUGACCUGUUGAAUGAUGAAAUGAAUCAUACUCAAAUCCUCACUGAAUAUGUGAAAGUCUUCAGUACAGAUUUGAUAGUCUUCAAGAUCGUCAUGGCACACUCUUGGUAGUCAUGAGAAACUUUCCUAUGAAUUUCCGCAAAGGAAACUUGAUAUUGAGAAGUUGAAGAUGUCUCAUGAUGAUCUUCGAAUGGAAAACGGUUCAUUACUUGCUCAACAUAUGAGUGCCGCUCAGGUUGAAUUCACUCCACCAUGUCUCAAAUGCAUCGAACGUGAAACUGCCAAUUCUUCACCCGAAUCAUCAAAUGCUUCUAUUGCUACAAACUCUUCAGCUGCUCCCGUGGUAACAAAUUCCUCACUUGAGGAAACCACAAAUGUUAUUGACGAAAAUGCAGGGCUGAAGGAAUUGUAUGUGACAGGCAUGUACAAAAGUCUUAAAUGGCAUCAAACCGUUUGCUCANGAGGAAAGAAGGAAUUGCCUUUGAAAGGAAACAGAAUGCUGAUGGAUCAUACUGGAAACCUGAGUAGUAUCCUAAAACAUCAUGGGUUGCUGCUAAAGGACCUCCUGUUGAUCCAUCCAAUCUAACAUGCUUUGCAUGUGAAUUAUCCUAUUCCUCAUAUGAGGCAUUUGACUCCAACUAUAAACUGUUCAAAAAUCAAUCUGGUGAACUAUUUGCUCGAUAUGUUGGAACUAACUACAGGAAUGGACCACCCCUAAGGAAAAUCUGGGUCCCCAAAAGUUGCUUGGAAAAUCUUCAGGUGAAUGUACUCAUGACACCACCUAUGAAGAAUCUGAACCCCGGAUCAAAUUCCUGAGGUGGAGCAAAGUCUUCAAGAGGAUCAAAAUCCUCAACUGGUCAAAACUAUGCUCGUACUCGUGCUAAUGCUUCUGAUAUGCAGGGAAAUUACAAGGGAUAUGAAUAUGAGCAUUAUACCUCAAACCAUUAUGUUCAUAAAUCCUCAAAGAACUUCUCUGUCUAUUCAUUUGACUACUCUAACCCCCCUAAUGUGAAGAGAAGUGCAUUAGCUUCAACGCCCCCUUUCUCAUAUGGUGCUCGCAGGAUGAUGAACUCUUUGUCACCCCUUCAGAUGUGGGUGGUGAAGAAUUUGAACUAAUCACUUCUGCAGGUCAGGUAUCCAGAAGAAAAUCAUUAUCUGAAGAAUUUGGUGGAGACCUGAGGAAAAUGCUUGAUUGGGCGCAAUCUAAAAUUGAUGAAAUGAUAACAUUUCACACGUCCUCAAAUUUACUGUUUAUGAUGAAAUUCCUAUCUAAUGAAAUUGAUAUCAUAUUCUUCAAGUCUGAAGCAUAUGAUAUGGUAAUCUGUACUAAUUCAUCCGUGAGAUGACAAACCCGAGAGUACUGAGUGGGUUCUUGAUAGUGGUUGCACAAACCACGUGACUGGUGAUAAAAGCUUGCUGAUGAAUAUGCCACUAACUGUAUCACCACUGAGGAAAAUCACUUAUGCUGGCAAAGGUAAAAGCAGGGUAUUGGGACUUGGCAAAGUGGCUAUUUCCAAGGACAGGCACAUGGAAAAAGUGAUGCUUGUCGAAUCCCUUGGGUUUAACCUCAUGUCAGUCUCAAUGCUUUGUGAUCUUGAUAUGGUUGUUAUAUUUGGAAAAUAUAGAUGUGUAGUCAUCAUGGAAUCUGACAGAUCCAAAAUCUUCGAAAGCUUUAGGAGAGGAGAUUUGUACAUUGUUGAUUUUUCAACAGGUCCUCAACCAGCCACAUGCUUACUAGCAAAAACCUCAGAAGGUUGGCUAUGGCAUCGAAGACUUGGUCAUGCAGGCAUGAGGAAUUUGCAUACGUUGGCGAAGAAGAAGCAUGUCAUUGGCAUCGAAUCAGUCAAAUUCCUCAAGGACCACCUCUGUGGCCCUUGCGAGUCUGAAAAAAUGACUAGAUCCAAACACCCCUCGAAGACUAUCAUGACUACCACUCGUCCAUUUGAAUUGCUUCACAUGGAUCUAUUUGGACCUACUCAUUAUGCUACUCUAACCAAUGCAGCAUUCUUAUAUGGCCUUGUCAUCAUUGAUAACUAUUCUGGAUAUACUUGGGUGCAUAUCAUUCUGUAUAAAACACAUCAGGAGUGACAAUGGGACAGAAUUCAACUAGUGCAGGAAGUCUUCAAACGAUUUUCCUCAAGGUCCUUGACAAACUUCGGCGUCAAGAUAAAACACAUCAGGAGUGACAAUGAGACAGAAUUCAAAAACACUGGUCUUCAUGAUUAUCUUAAUGAACUUGGUAUUACUCACGAAUUAUCUGCUCCUUAUACUCCUCAACAGAAUGGCGUCAUUGAACGCAAGAACGUGACUCUGGUGGAUAUGCCACGAACUAUGCUUGAAGAAUAUCAGACUCCUCAUCGUUUCUGGCCUGAAGCAAUCAACAUUGCUUGCCACAUCAUCAACAGGGUAUAUCUUCACAAAUUCCUCAAGAAAACCUUAUAUGAACUCCUCACUAAUAAGAAACCCAAUGUAAGUUAUUUCAAAGUCUUCAGUGCAAAAUGCUGGAUUAGAGAUCCUCACCAUAGCUCAAAAUUUGCACCUAAAGCACAUGAGGGUUUUAUGCUUGGUUACGGAAACGAAUUGCACACCUACAGAGUCUUCAACACCUAUCACAACAAGGUUGUUGAAACUAUAGAUGUGCGGUUCGAUGAAACUAAUGGCUCGCAAAGAGAGCAAUUGCCUCGUGUGCCAGAUAAAAUAUCUCCUGAGGAAGCAAUCAAGUUCAAAGCUACUGAAGACAUUGUUCCAACUGAGGAAAUUGCUGAAGAAAUCGUCCCCAACACUGAUGAAGUUCAAGAAGGAGCUACUGAGGAAAUUGCUCCAGAUCAAUUUCCUCAUCCCAGAAAAAAAUCCUCGUCGAAGCCAUCCAAGGAUUGCAAAUGAAGUAGAACUUGCCAAAAUCCUCGAUGACAUCAACGCGCCAGGUCCUCUCACUCGCUCAAAAGCUUCACAUUUAGUUAACUUUUGUGGGCAUUCCUCUUUUGUGUCUAUCACAGAACCCUCAAAAGUUGUUGAAGCUUUCCUGGAACCUGAGUGGAUUCAAGCCAUGCAAGAUGAACUUCUUCAAUUCAAGCUAAAUGAUGUGUGGGAACUCGUCAAACGACCAGAUCCUCGCAAGCACAAUGACAUCGGCACCAAGUGGAUUUUUCGAAACAAGCAAGAUGAGGAUGGUCAAGUGGUGAGGAAUAAGGUACGACUUGUAUCCCAAGGCUACACACAGGUUGAAGGAAUUGAUUUCGAUGAAACUUUUGCACCUGUUGCUAGACUUGAAGCUAUUCGAAUACUACUUGCUUAUGCUAAUCAUCAUAAUAUUACUCUAUAUCAAAUGGAUGUGAAAAGUGCAUUCCUCAAUGGUAAGCUUGAGGAAGAAGUAUAUGUUGCUCAUACCCCAGCUUUUGAGGAUCCGAAGCAUCCAGACAAAGUCUUCAGACUCAAAAGGGCACUCUAUGGCCUCAAGCAAGCCCCUCGGGCGUGGUAUGAUACAUUAAAGGAAUUCCUCAUGAAGAAAGGCUUCAAAUCUGGUUCACUCGAUCCAACUCUUUUCACUAAAUCCUAUGAUAAUGAACUAUUUGUGUGCCAAAUAUAUGUCGACGACAUUAUCUUUGGUUGUACUGGCAAAUGUUACAGUGAUGAAUUUGCUUACAUGAUGAGUGAAGAAUAUCAGAUGUCAAUGAUGGGGGAGCUGAAAUUCUUCUUAGGUCUUCAAAUUCGUCAACAACGCAAUGGCAUCUUCAUAUCAGAGGAGAAAUACCUCAAGGAUGUUCUAAGGAAAUUCGACAUGGAUGAAUGAAAAGGCGCCAAGACUCCAAUGCUUACAAACGGCCACCUCUGCACUGACGAAAAUGGUAAAUAUUUCGAUCAACAGGUAUAUCACUCAAUGAUUGGUUGUUUAUUGUAUCUAUGUGCAUCUAGGCCAGAUAUAAUGAUUAGUGUUUGCAUGUGUGCUCGUUUUCAAGCAAAACCGAAGGAAUCACACCAUAAGGCUGUGAAGCAUAUUCUUCGAUACUUAGCUCACACACCAACACUAGGAUUAUGGUACCCCAAGGGCUCAAAUCUUCAUCUCGUGGGAUAUUCUGAUUCUGAUUAUGUUGGUGACCGUGUGGAUCGCAAGUCAACAUCUGGCACUUGUCAUUUUCUCGGAAGAUCAUUAGUUUGCUGGUCCUCAAAGAAGCAGAACUGUAUCUCUCUCUCCACUACCGAAGCUGAGUACAUUGGUGAUGGAUCCUGCUGUUCUCAACUGCUAUGGAUGAAGAAACCCUCAGAGACUACGACAUCAACAUGAAGAAGGUACCUCUCUACUGCGACAAUGAGAGUGCAAUCAAGAUCGCUUACAACCCAGCACAACACUCGAAGACUAAGCACAUCCAGAUUCGUCGUCAUUUUCUUCGGGACCAUGUCCUCAAGGGCAAUAUCAUCAUCGACCAUGUGAAGACCGACGAUCAACUAUCAUAUAUUUUCACUAAGCCCUUGGAUGAGAAAAGGUUUUGCAAGUUGAGGUGUGAGCUAAAUAUCCUAGAGUCUUCAAAUGUUUUGUGAAAACUCGCACACAUCCUAACACUUAUGCAAAAUUGAUGACUUAGAUGUGCAACGUACGAAGAAUCGAUUUUCUUCAAUCAAUGAAGAUUGUCACUCUUAGUGUGAGGAAAUUAAUGAAGAAUUUGGUUCUCAGGGACCUACGACAAUUGUACGCGGCGCCUGAAAUCAUCAUUCUUAUACGGUGGGUCACGCCACCACCCAACUUUGAAAUUCUUGAGACUGUUUUUUUCUCAAAGUUGUAAUUCAUCAAUCUCACACUUUGUCACAAAAUCCUCAAGUUUUUAAAAUCUUCAAAUUCUUCAAAAUGUUUGAUGAUUUUCAUUUGCAUAUAUAUAUAGACUGAUAUUUCCAAGUCCUCAGCAGCAUUCACUUAUAGUUCAUUGUUCAAUUUGAUAUUUCAUCUAAGUGAAUGUGAUCGGACCCAACUCCCCUCUAUGCUAAGCUCAACCCAGUCUAUUCAUUUCUUCAUAUGCGUUCUACUUAACACUUGUUCAAAAUCCUCACUAUGUCCUUGUCUGUUGAGGACUUUGCAACGAAAUCCUCAAAACUUCAAAAAUCAUUUUUAUAACGUUACACAGUAACUGGACCCACUUCCCACGAUCGGAUAACCACGAACUCCACCGCUUCAAUCGUGGGCUCCACGUGUCGUACCGAGACGAAUGGGCAAGGGCAGUUCGGUCCGAAAGUUUUGGCCGAAUAGUUUUUCACCUGAGCUAUAAAUAGGCCCUUACCCCUCCCUCCCUUAGUCAAAACUCUCCGUCCUCUCGUCUUCUCUCCGCUCGAGCUCAAUCCUAGCGCCACCGCUAGCAAUCUCAUCGCCGGUGAGGAACAGCUUCACUGCCUCGCCCUUGCCGUCGAGAAACUCACACCGGAGGCGAAUCUCUCCCUCCGCCACCGCCGUAGCUGAUCUCUGCCGCCAAGUUAGGGCGCAAAAGAUCUGAACCGAAGAGCUUCACUCUUUGACGGCUCCUGUUCUUCGUGUUCUUCACUCAGGGUAAUUAAAAUCUUAUUUUACUGCCUCCGUUCAUCUAUUAUUUCACCUUAGACUCGGGAAAUCUGUUUUUCCUCAGAGUGUGUGUCAGCCACGCACACUCAUUCCUCAAACACUUGAUGAAUUUCACAAAGCCACUCAAAUUCUUCAUGAGAUUCCUCAAUUGUGUAAAUUCUCGAAUCUGCACAACUCUGGAACCCAAGAUCAGAAUGCUUAGUCAAAUUACUCAACCCACUAGUCAAAUUCCUCAACUUCUAUUUUUUUUCAAUUUCUUCAAAUCUGAGAACGCAUAUGACCUCUCCAAAUUCUUCGCACCCAUACUCUAUGCACAGGUACAAAAAUGUCAGCUGGUGAAUCACUAGGUUCUCAUCAACUUAACUCAUUUGCAGCGUUCCUCGAAGAAACUUUACCAGUGUCAUCGGAAUCUUCAAGAGUGGAUAUUCCUCAGCAAAAGCCUCAGUUGAAUAAAAUGGAAGAUACAGGAAGCAGAAGGGAGGAAAGAAGCUUGAACAGAACACAUCUCUUGAUAUUCCUGGACACAUAUACGCUGACUACUGCACCCCUGAUGAGGAAAUAUAUGGCAAAUAAACCACGGCGAAGCGCAAGAUAAGGCUUCAGAAAAUUGAACGCGUGUGGGUUAAGGAGUGGAAGGAAUACCGUUAUGUAACUCUAAAAUAUGCGAAGAAAUUCGCCCUCAAGCCACCUUGCAAGAGGCCUCCUUAGUGUGAUCAACACGCUACUCAUCCCUCAAGUGUUGAAACCAUUGAGGAUUACCCUAAUAAGAAAGACAAAUAUUUGUCUAAGUUACAAAAGAAGGCAGAAGCAGUCAUGAAGAAAUUCAACAAUGACUCUGCUGCUGCUGCCACUGUCGCCACCUCUCCAGCUGCUGAGGCCUCUGCUACAUCCAUUCCUCAGAAGAAAACUGUGCUGAUGAAACCAAAGGCCUCAGUGCCACAAGAGCAAUUGCCUCAGAAGUCUGCACCAGUGACAAAAUUAUCAACAGCACCACAGUCCUCACAACCUCAAUAGAAGCAGCUCAUUAAGCACCAGUCUGUUCAAUCAAGUUCCUUAGUGUCGUCUGCUACAAGCUCUGCUGCAAAGUCUUCACCACCUUUAUUGAAGACUAAAAUGACUGAUGGUAGAGGUAUCAAGCCAAGUCCUAGCAAAGCCAUAAACGUUCCUUCUGCAUCAGAAGGAAGUGAAGAAUUUGAUGAGGAGACACUUCAAGCUAUCAUCAGAAACAAGCAGGAACGAGUUGCUCAAGCCUCGGGCAGCUCCAUUCCUCUAGCCAUGGACCCGAAGGUUUUGCUGGACUUCAUUUACCUCUGGUAUGAAUAUCCAAAUACACCUGUUGACGACUUGAAGCUUCCCCCUGGUGUAAGCCACAUGGUAGCCACUUUCAUCAAUGAGGCAAAGUGGAAAGAGAAGCAAGCCAAGCAAGAAAAGGCUGCUAAGCUCAAGAAGGAGAAAUUCCUCAGACAAAAUCUCCUCAAGUUGACGCCUGAAGCACUUGUAUCAACUCAGGUUGAACUCAAAACACUAACAGGCUAGUAUACAAGUCUUCACAUUGAUCGUGAAGGCAUCAAGGUGAAUUUCAUCAAGGUUGCAUCAGCUGCUGUUGAUGAAUACAACAAGAGAACGACCCCUCCAACGCAGCAAACAACACCUCAUGCUAGCUACACUAUUCAGAUGCCAGAGGAAGAUGAAGCUGAUGAACCUACUGCUGAGGAAGUUCCUCAAAAUACUCCAACUGAAGAAAAUGUUCGAGCUGAAGAAAAUGCUUCACCUGAGGAAACUGCCAGGACUGAGUCUGCACCAGCUCCUGAUGAAACUUUCCUUCGCCUUAACCCUCAAGGGUGAAGAAGAUGAUUCCAUCUGCAUCAGACGUGAAAAAGACCAAAGCUGCUGGGAAAGAAGCAAAGAAGAGAAAAGCUUCAAUGAUCUCAGAAUCCUCAGAGGCCAAGCGCCCAAAGGUCACUCAGUCAGAGUCUUCAACUCCCCCCUAUGGAUGCUACCCCUCUAAAUGUAGCUCCAUCCUACCUGUUGGUUCCCUUCGGAGUUGACUAUGUCAUUCCUGAAGAUGAUGAGGAAAUGGAGGAUGUUGAAGUUGAAGAAAUCAUGGAUGAGGAAAUACUAAUUGAUGAUAUUCCUCAACCUACCAUUCCUCAAAACACCUCUGAAGAAAUUGCAGGUGAUGAUGAAACUGGGUGCAACACUCCAGUUAUUCAUGAUGACUUCUGGGAAGAAACUCAUCGCUCACCAAGGUCAACUCAAAUUCCUCCUACUCCUGCUGCAACAGAAAUCCUCACACGAUCUGAUGGGAAGACCUUCUGUGAGGAAUCUGCUCAAGAAUCAGCUGCAUCAGCUGAAGAUAAUGCAGCAGCUAAUGCUACAAUUGCCUCCUCCAACAAGCAAAUUCCUCAAGCUGAGGAAAAUCCUCAACCUGAUGAAAAUCCUCAACCUGAUGAAAAUACUCAGAAUGAAGAAAAAGCUCCUGCCCCAAACACUGAAACUGCUAUUGUUGUGGUAAACACAGAAACAACAAUGAUAGUGGCUCCUCCUCCAGAACAACAGCAUAAUAUUCAACCACAGCAGAAUCAGCCUUUACUCCAAAAGGCCAAAGUUUCAAAAAGAGGCAUUUUAUGAAGAACGCAUGUACUUCACUGGCGCAAAUCCUUAUGAUAAGCUUCACAUCAGGCACCGGAAGUUUUGGACGAGGAACCAGCUCAACUACUAUACUUUAGUGCUCUGUGGGAGGAACAAGAUAUUUCAGCAUAAACAUAUUCCUCAAUGUGACAUGGAAGAAAUACCUUGCUUCACUCCAGUCCACAACGUUCUUCAUGAUGUUGGAUUGCUGCCUCUUUCCACUGACAUAGGUGAAUAGAACUGUGACAUAAUUCUUCAGUUCUACGCCACUCUGCAUAUUUCUGGCAACCCAAAGGAUGUCAACACUAGGGUUUUGGAUUGGAUGAUCCAACACACGCACUACAAAGCGCCUGCCACUGAAUUGCUUCGAGCUCUUCCAGUCUCAAUCCCCUCAGAGAAUGCAGUGCUAAUGUAUGAUGAACGUGAACUGCCCAACAAAUUGAUGGAAGUCCUCAUGAAGCCGUUGGCCAAGGACCAACCUCCAUGGACUCGAUUUCUGGUUCAAGACUUGAAGUAUGAACCACGAACAGUCUACAGAAUCCUGGCCAAUAUCAUCGCUCCUAUCAAAGGGCACGACGAUGAAGAAGAUGUCGUAAGCAUCAUGAAGAAUAUCCUUUUCAAUGUCCUCCAUGGCAUACCAAUGAAUCUUCAUGACUUCUUCCUGAGGACUUUGGCUGAUAAUGCAUUGUCGUCGUUUGACAUGAAGAUUUAUGCACCAUGGAUCAUGAGAUUCAUCAGAAGCAGGCCAGGCAUCAACUAUCAGGCUGAUUUUAAUAAUCACAUCGGAUAUCUGUCACCAAUCAGAGUCAUCAAGCAAACAUUUGAGCCUGUUGAAGGCAAAGGCAAAUAUGUGAUUGAUGAAGGAAAUCGGCCCCUUGAUGGCUAGUUUCGUCAAGCGGAGUCAUAUUCUUCAUAUGAUAACACUGCUACCCAAGAUCCACGAAGCCCAACUGCCCCAAGAGUGAUGAAUAACAGAGAGCUACUCCUCAAUCUUCAUCAGAAGGUCGAUCGCAAUCACAAAUGGGUCAAACGUCAAUUCGGUGCCAUUGUGAAAACCCUCAACGAGACUCAGAAUGCAGUGAGGAAAAAUCACUAUUACCUUCAUGAGGUGUUUGAUCGUACCUGGGCCACCUUGGCUCAUGUGAAGACUCAAGAGGAACUUGAGGAAUUGGAGUUUACUCAGGACUUCGACUGGUCAUGGCCUCCGAAGAAGAAAUUCAAGCCAAUUCCAGUUCCUGACCUUGUGGACAGUUAUUUUUUCUUCAUUCCGCACUGCUGAGUCAGAUGAAGAACCAGAAGACACUGCAACUGGUCCAAUGAAGACGCCUGUCGCCAAGAAUCCUCACGCCUCUUCAUCAGCCAAGAAGUAAAUUUAUUCAAAGGGCGUUAGUCCUCAGUUUAUCCCUUUUCGUCACUUGAUGACAAAAGGGGAGAAAUCUGAGUUAGUCUUCAAGCGGGAUAUAUUUUGGGGCUUAUAAACUUUAUUAAGUUACAAACUCUUGGCUCUUCUGAAGUGUUUUCUGUAAUGAGUUGUAACUUAAGCCCGAUGGUGCUCUGACUCAUUUGAACGUUUUUCUUCGCAUGCUUAUUCCUCAAAGUAUAUUAAUGCAGGCAUGCUGAAAUUCGUCAGACACCAUUUUUCAUCAUGCAUUUUCAAUUCCCUCAAAUUAUAUGUCAAAUGUAUGCAUGAUUUACAAGAUACAGGGGGAUAUCUUCAUGGUAUAAAUCAUCAAUGUGCAUCUGCCGUGAAAAGCAAAAUCCUCAUAAUAUGCACAUCUUCAAGGGGAGUCUCUCAGUAUCUUGAUUUCAAAUUCCUCAAACUCAGUAUUUACACUUCAUAUUUUUAUCCCCGUUGAAAACUUAACCAAAUUGUCAUCAACCACCAAAAACGGGGAGAUUGUAAGUGCAUCUAGUGCCCUUAGUGAUUUUGGUGGUUUGAAGACUUAUAGGUUAAGUAACUAAUGUGUUUAUAAGUGUCACAUGCUCUUAAGUCGCUGAGGAGUUUGAGUUAUAUGAUAAAUAUAGACCCGUAAAAAUGUAUGUCUUCGGCUGAAGAAAUUGGUCUAAGCUUGAAGACUUUGAUCGCGAAGAAAUUGCGAUGAAAUUGAUAUUCCUCAUGAAGAUAUUGAAGAUGAGGAAUUCGGUGGUUCCUGAUGAAAUACUGUCUGAAGACUUCGAAGCGUGAAGACUUACUCUUUCUGUUUCGUUUUCUUUACUAUUGAGUCUUAGGAACACCGUACCGUUAAACGGGGGUUGAGGUAAUACUACGGAAUGAAUUUCCUCAUGAUGCUCAACCCAAGCCUAAACCUAUCAAAGCCUCAAAGUGAGGAAUAUGAGAGACAUGAGGACUUCCAUAGUUGAAAGUUUCGACCGUUGCCGCGACACGCGUCACCUCACUGAUCUUAUCCACCCAACGGUCACAAUAGUUAAGGGCAUUUAUGUCAAAUCAUGUCGGGAUGCUCCCAGGCUAUAAAUAGCCGCCCCCACAACCACCAGCUGGUUGGCUGCUCCGCGAGAAACUGACACUUGUCAUUUAGAACAACCCAAAUUCCUCACAGUCUUCGAGAGUAAAUCAUCAAGUGAGGAAAUUCCCCAAACACCAAACCACAAACCAAGUGAUUGAGCAUCACUGAAGAAUUUGUUCAUGUGUGGAACUGAAGCCUUUUACCUUUGAGGACUGUGCAUCCUCGAGGCGGUUAGGCGUCAUGGUUUAGAGCAUCCAGCAGUCAAUUGUGGAUCACCGGGUGUCUGAGUUUGUGAGGGUUUGAAAGUCUGCCCUGAAGACUUACCAUGAGUGUUGGGCGAGGACUGUGUAUCCUUAGCUCAAGGAGAAUAGGGUAAGGACUGUGUGUCCCAGGAUUGUAUGUCCUUUUGUUUCAAUACCAAGCCGCUCCAAACCAAACGUACGACUAUCAAAAUAGUUGGAACUGGGUCAUCAACAACUGUCUUCAUCGUGAUAUGGGUUCUCUUUCUUCAACUCUUUCAAUUCCUCAAUAUUGUAUGUUGAAGACUUUCAUUGUCUCUGUUUGAAGAAUUUGUUGAAGACUUUCUCUAAAUUUCCUCAACCUCAAAUUCUUCAUACCAUUUAAUCUUCACCUGCUUAUUCUAUGUCUACAUACUGUGCAAACCGAUUCGCAUAAUCUUCAUCAAGAAAACUGUUGUUGUAAUUUUUGCACCUCUGAUCCUGCGGUAUUUCCGCUGCACGUUAUUCAUCAGUGGAGAAUUUCCUAAAAAGGAAUUUCCUCAUUGAUGAAAUUCUAAAAAUCACCUAUUCACCCACAUCUAGUCGAUAUAACGCACUUUCAUGUACGUGUGUAGGAAAUAUGCAGAAAAUCCCUUAUACAAUGGGAUAAAUACAAAAGGCUACAUGAUAAUAUAUAUAUAUAUACAAUAUUACUCAACAGAUUGUACCAUAAGAUCUAUAUAUUCCGACAUGACAUAGAACUACAAAAUAAAAUGAAAUCCACCUGUUCUGCAUAGCUAAAACGUCUCGAAUAGGAGCAUUGGGAUACCACCUACUGCAAUUACCAAAGGAGUCCGAAGAAAAAUAGAACUAACAAAAACAAAUAACAUCACCUCAUGUAGCUUGACAGUCACGGCAACAAAGAGAAUGACAACUGGUCCUUGCUGCAUUUGCUGCUGUAGAGUCUCGGUAGGGAAUUGGUUUGCAUGUAAUUACCAUAAAGCAGCAACAACCGUAUCUAUUUAAAACAUUAUCAGAAAAUGCACAAGCAUGUAGAAAACCACAAAAACGAUGUCUUGAAGCAAUUCAAAAUGGCCAACAAUGAAGCUUUACCAACAUACCUUCCAUCACUUAUGUACACCUUACGGACUGCCCUAGGUGCACCAUUGACAAUAACAGUUUUCACAUUUGAAACUUCCAGCAUAAGACCAAUGGCAUCUGCAUCAGGCACCAAAAGAAAUCUUAGACUAGAGAGAGAAGAGAAGCGACUGCACAUAAUAUGGAGGUAAAAUGAUUCAGUCACAAAUACAUAUUAUAUUCCAGACAUUAGUGUUGUGUUGUUUUCACUCGAUAGGAGGACUUCAUAAGGCGAUAUCUUGUAUGCGUACCCCGGAAAACUAUCAGGCACAUGUUCAUCCUUGCUUAUAUCUGUGUACUCCAUAAACAUUUCCAUGCAAGGAUUAUCCACGGCCCUAUAGGGCAGACUAGGGCAGACAACCAUAAGUGGUGUAUGUAAUACACAUCAUCCUCUUUGAUGUAUUGCAAAAAGAGCGACACAAACCACGUAGGAACUCAACCGUCCAUCAUACCCCCUAUCUCAUAAACAUCGAACCAGCAUGGUGACCUUACAUCGUGAAGGUAAAUGAACAAGACGUUAUAGAAUGACAAGUAUCUCACCUGCUCAUCGAGCAUCACAAAAUCAAGCUGCGGAAUUCCUGUUCAUUGAUACUUGUUCACGUAAUGUGAAAUGCGCGUUAUUCUGACUCGAACCCUGACCUGGUUGUUUGACGCCAGGGUCACAUCCUUCAGGAAGGUGUAAUACAUCUGCUAACAGAAAAGGAAACAAAAUCAGAGCUAAAUCAAAACUAGGAAAACAUUAAAUCUAACAUAUAUCCAAAAGUAGGCAUGAAAACACUGCAAAAAGAACAAAUCUGACAUAUAUCCCUAUGCUGAAUUCAACAGGGGAGAAGACAUAAUAGAGGACUGCUACAACAUGACUUGGACUGAAGAACUCAUCAUAUUCUUACAAUCCGUAACCUUCCUUUUGUGAACAAUGUAAGCUAUAAUAUCGUUAUAGUUUACCUCAUUGUCAGUGUCUUCUGAUUAUUCUACAUCAUUUUUAAGUUCACACAUAUCAUCAUCCUGUCCUGAACCAUCCUCGCUCUCUUCAUGAUCAUUGGUUAAAACUCGUGCUUUCUUUGAUUGUUCUUCAGAUAAGAGAGUUGAGCGUGUGGGUGUAGAGCGCCCUUCUGUCUCGUCCAAGCGCAUCCCCUUCUCCCCCGUCUUCUUUACCAAUUCGCGAAUGGGAAUCCCAUCAUCCCCGUCAUCCUCCUCAUCACUAUCAAUUAUUCUACGCAAUGCACGCUUCCUACUGGGUGGAGAACCUAACAACCCCACUUGCAAUUCACCAUCCUUGCCGUUCUUCGCACCCUCGUCUUCGAUGUCCCUGCUCACCACUUGUGCGGUGGAGUGUUUCUUACCGCAGGGUGUGAUCAAAACAUCCUCAUCCUCCAGACCCACAACAACAUCGUAGCAAAAUCAUCGGUGGUCUCUGUUCGGAAUGAGCAACUGACAUUCACACGGGGCCAAGGGCCAGUACAUAUACUUUUGGUGAAAGGCAAGAACCCCCUUAUACAAUGGGGAUAUGCAGUAAAGGGACUAUACACAUCUAACACCCCCUGAAACUCAUGGUCGGUCAACAACACUGAGUUUGGACAGAAAGAACCCAUGUUGCACUUGAGUCUGUGCCUUCGUGAAGAAGACUGCCAAUUGUAACUCAGAGGGCACAUAGUGAAGAGCGAGAGUCUGAUCCUGCACAGGAGCAUGCACAAAGUGCGCAUCCACACCAAUGUGCUUGGUGAGCUCAUGCUUCACCGGGUAACACGCGAUACUGAGAGCACAUGUGCUGUUUGACAGUAAGGGAGUCGAUGUAGUAGCAGGCACACCAAAGUCCUAAGGUAACCAUCGUAACCAGAUCACCUCAGCCGUCACAAUAGCCAUCACAUGCAACUCAGCCUUGGUACUCGAGCGAGAAACUGCAGUCUGUUUCUUGGUCUUCCAGGCAAUAAGAGAGCCACCAAGAAAAACACAGUAAACAGAUAGCGAGGGGCUAUCAGAGGGAUCACUAGCCCACGUAGCAUCAGAGUAGGCCUGGAGCUCGAGUGAGCUGGAGCAGGGAAAGAAAAGGCGAUGGGAGAUCGUGCCACAAAGAUAUCAUAAAACAUGGAGGAGGGGACUAUAGUGGACAGAGGUGGGAACUACAACAAACUAACUAAGAAUGUGGACAUGAUAGGAGAUGCCAGGAUGCAUAACAGCAAGAUAGACAAGGCUCCCAACGAGGUGGCGAUAGCGAGUGGGAUUAGGAAGAGGAUCCCCGUCAGAAGCAUGAAGUUGAACGUUGAGCUCCAUUGGAGUCACAACAGUGCACUCUGUUGGGGAACGUCGCAAGGGAAACAAAAAAUUUCCUACGCGCACGAAGACCUAUCAUGGUGAUGUCCAUCUACGAGAGGGGAUGAGUGAUCUACGUACCCUUGUAGAUCGUACAGCAGAAGCGUUAGAGAACGCGGUUGAUGUAGUGGAACGUCCUCACGUCCCUCGAUCCGCCCCGCGAACAAUCCCGCGAUCAGUCCCACGAUCUAGUACCGAACGGACGGCACCUCCGCGUUCAGCACACGUACAGCUCGACGAUGAUCUCGGCCUUCUUGAUCCAGCAAGAGAGACGGAGAGGUAGAAGAGUUCUCCGGCAGCGUGACGGCGCUCCGGAAGUUGGUGAUGAUCUUGUCUCAGCAGGGCUCCGCCCGAGCUCCGCAGAAACGCGAUCUAGAGGAAAAACUAUGGAGGUAUGUGGUCGGGCAGCCGUGAGAAAGUCGUCUCAAAUCAGCCCUAAAACCUCCGUAUAUAUAGGUGGGAGGGAGGGGAGGAGGCAGCCUCAAAACCUAAAGGUUUGGCCGAAAUUGGAGGUGGAGGAGUCCUACUCCAAUCCUACUUGGAGUAGGAUUCCACCUUCCCACUUGGAAACUCUUUCCACCUUGUGUUUUUUUUCUUCUCAAACCUUAUGGGCCUUAGUGGGAACUUAUUCCAGCCCACUAGGGGCUGGUUUAUCUCUUCCCAUAGCCCAUGAGACCCCUUGGGGCGUGACACCCCUCCCGAUGGUCCCCGGCACCCCUCCCGGCACUCCCGGUACACUACCGAUGAGCCCGAAACUUUUCCGGUAAUGCACGAAAACCUUCCGGUAACCAAAUGAGGUCAUCCUAUAUAUCAAUCUUCGUUUCCGGACCAUUCCGGAAACCCUCGUGACGUCCGUGAUCUCAUCCGGGACUCCGAACAACAUUCGGUAACCAACCAUAUAACUCAAAUACGCAUAAAACAACGUCGAACCUUAAGUGUGCAGACCCUGCGGGUUCGAGAACUAUGUAGACAUGACCCGAGAGACUCCUCGGUCAAUAUCCAAUAGCGGGACCUAGAUGCCCAUAUUGGAUCCUACAUAUUCUACGAAGAUCUUAUCGUUUGAACCUCAGUGCCAAGGAUUCAUAUAAUCCCGUAUGUCAUUCCCUUUGUCCUUCGGUAUGUUACUUGCCCGAGAUUCGAUCGUCAGUAUCCGCAUACCUAUUUUAAUCUCGUUUACCGGCAAGUCUCUUUACUCGUUCCGUAAUACAAGAUCCCGUAACUUACACUAAGUCACAUUGCUUGCAAGGCUUCUGUGUGAUGUUGUAUUACCGAGUGGGCCCCGAGAUACCUCUCCGUUCACACGGAGUGACAAAUCCCAGUCUUGAUCCAUACUAACUCAACUAACACCUUCGGAGAUACCUGUAGAGCAUCUUUAUAGUCACCCAGUUACGUUGCGAUGUUUGAUACACACAAAGCAUUCCUCCGGUGUCAGUGAGUUAUAUGAUCUCAUGGUCAUAGGAAUAAAUAUUUGACACGCAGAAAACAAUAGCAACAAAAUGACACGAUCAACAUGCUACGUCUAUUAGUUUGGGUCUAGUCCAUCACAUGAUUCUCCUAAUGAUGUGAUCCCGUUAUCAAGUGACAACACUUGCCUAUGGCCAGGAAACCUUGACCAUCUUUGAUCAACGAGCUAGUCAACUAGAGGCUUACUAGGGACAGUGUUUUGUCUAUGUAUCCACACAAGUAUUGUGUUUCCAAUCAAUACAAUUAUAGCAUGGAUAAUAAACGAUUAUCAUGAACUAAGAAAUAUAAUAAUAACUAAUUUAUUAUUGCCUCUAGGGCAUAUUUCCAACAGUCUCCCACUUGCACUAGAGUCAAUAAUCUAGUUCACAUCACCAUGUGAUUCCAACGAAUCCAACACCCAUAUAGUUAUGGGGUCUGAUCAUGUCUUGCUUGUGAGAGAGGUUUUAGUCAACGGUUCUGAAACUUUCAGAUCCGUGCGUUCUUUACAAAUCUUUAUGUCAUCUUAUAGAUGCUGCUACUACGUGCUAUUCGGAAAUGCUCCAAAUAUCCACUCUACUAUAUGAAUCCGUUUCACUACUCAUAGUUAUUCAGAUUAGUGUCAAAGCUUGCAUCGACGUAACCCUUUACGACGAACUCUUUAACCACCUCCAUAAUCGAGAAAAAUUCCUUAGUCCAUUUGUUACUAAGGAUAAAUUUUGACCGCUGCUAGUGAUUCAAUCAUGGAUCACUCUCUGUACCCUCAACAGACUUUGAGUCAAGGCACACAGUCAGGUGCGGUACACAGCAUGGCAUACUUUAGAUUCUACGGCUAAGGCAUAGAAGACGACCUUCGUCUAUUCUCUUUAUUCUGCCGUGGUCGGGUUUUGAGUCUUACUCAAAUUCACACCUCACAACGCAACCAAGAACUCCUUCUUUGCUGGUCUAUUUUGAACUCUUUCAAAAAACUUGUCAAGGCAUGCAUCUUGUUGAAACUUCUAUUAAGCGCUUUCGAUCUAUCUCCAUAGAUCUUUGAUGCUCAACGUUCAAGUAGCGUAAUCCAGGUACUCCUUUGAAAACUUCUUUCAAACAACCUUGUAUGCUUUACAGAAAUUCUACAUUACUUCUGAUCCACAAUAUGUCAACCACAUAUACCUAUCAGAAAUUCUAUAGUGCUCCCACUCACUUCUUUGGAAAUACAAGUUUCUCAUAAACCUUGUACACACCCAAAAUCUUUGAUCAUCUCAUCAAAGUGCUUAUUCCAACUCCGAGAUGCUUGCACCAGUCCAUUGAAGGAUCACUGGAGCUUGCAUACUUGCUAGUAUCUUUAGGAUCGACAAAACCUUCUGGCUGUAUCACAUACAAUGUUUGCUCAAGGAAACCGUCGAGGAAACAACGUUUUGACAUCCUACGUGCAAUAUUUCAUAAAUAAUGCAGCAACUACUAACACAAUUCUAACAGACCUUUAGCAUCGCUACGAGUGAGAAAGACUCAUCAUAGUCAACUGUUUGAUCUUGUCGAAAACAUCUUUGCGACAAGUCGAGCUUUUCUUAAUAGUGACUUAUCACCAUCAUCGUCUGUCUUCUUUUAAAGAUCCAUUUUACCCAAUAGUCCCAUGACCAUCAAGUAGUUCUACCAAAGUCUACACUUUGUUUUCACACAUGGAUCCUCUCUCGGAUUUCAUGGCUUCCAGCCAUUUGUCGGAAUCUGGGCCCACCAUCGCUUUCUCCAUAACUCGUAGGUUCACUGUUGCUCAACAACAUGACCUCCAAGACAGGGUUACCGUACUACUCUGCAGCAGUACGCGACCUUGUCGACCUACGAGGUUUGUAGUAACUUGAUUCGAAGCUCAAUGAUCACCAUCAUCAGCUUCCACUUCAAUUAGUGUAGGCGCCACAGGAACAACUUCCUAUGCCCUGCUACACACUGGUUGAAGUGAUGGUUUUAAUAACCUCAUCAAGUUCUACUACCCUCCCACUCAAUUCUUUCGAGAGAAACCUUUUCUCGAGAAAGGAUCCGUUUCUAGAAGCAAACACUUUGCUUUUGGAUCUGAGAUAGGAGAUGUACCCAACUGUUUUGGAUAUCCUAUGAAGAUGCAUUUAUCCGCUUUGGGUUCGAGCUUAUCAGACUGAAACUUUUUCACAUAAGUUUCGAAGCCCCAAACUUUCAAGAAACGACAGUUUAGAUUUCUCUAAACCUCAGUCUAUACUGUGUCAUCUCAACGGAAAUACGCGGUGCCCUAUUUAAAGUGAAUGUGGUUGUCUCUAAUGCAUAACCCAUAAACGAUAGUGGUAAUUCGAUAAGAGACAUCACAUCAUGCACCAUACUAAAUAGUGCGUGGCUAUGACGUUCAUACACAUCAUCACACCAUGAUGUUCCAGGUGGCACGAACUGUGAAACAAUUUCCACAUUGUCUUAACUGUGUACCAAAAACUCGCAACUCAGAUAUUCAUUUCUAUGAUCAUAUCGUAGACAGUUUAUCCUCUUGUUACGACGAACUUCACUCUGAAACAGAAUUGAACUUUUCAAUAUUUCAGACUUGUGAUUCAUUAAGUAAAUACUCCUGUAUCUACUCAAGUCGUCAGUGAAGUAAGAACAUAAUGAUAUCCACUGCGUGCCUCAGCACUCACUGGACUGCAUACAUCAAAAUGUAUCACUUCCAACAAGUUACUAUCUUGUUUCAUCUCAAUGAAAACAAGGCCUUGCUCAUGUGGUAUGAUUUGCAUGUCACUAGUGAUUCGAAAUCAGGUGAGUAAAGAUCCAUCAGCAUGGAGCCUCUUCAUGCAAUUUAUAUACUAACAUGACUCAAGCGGCAGUGCCACAAGUAAGUGGUACUAUCAUCAUUUAACUCGUAUCUUUUGGCACCAAUGUGUAACACUACAAUCGAGAUUCAAUAAACCAUUGAAGGUGAUUAUUCAAGCAAAUAGAGUAACCAUUAUUCUCUUUGAAUGAAUGAUCGUAUUGCAAUAAACACGAUCCAAUCAUGUUCAUGCUUAACGCAAGCACCAAAUAACAAUUAUUUAGGUUCAACGCCAAUCCCGAUGGUAGAGGGGGCGUGUGACGUUUGAUCAUAUCAACCUUGGAAACACUUCCAACACGUAUCGUCACCUCGCCUUUAGCUAGUCUCCGCUUAUGCCGUAGCUUUCAUUUCGCGUUACUAAUCACUUAGCAACCGAACCGGUAUCCAAUACCCUCGUGCUACUAGGAGUACUAGUAAAGUACACAUCAACAUUAUGUAUAUCAAAUAUACUUCUCUCGACUUUUGCCAGCCUUCUUAUCUCCCAAGUAUCUAGAGUUGCUCCGCCUCAGUGACUGUUCCCCUUAUUACAGAAGCACUUAGUCUCGGGUUUGGGUUCAAUCUUGGGUCUCUUCAUUAGCGCAGCAACUGUUUUGCCGUUUCACGAAGUAUCCCUUCUAGCCCUCCCCUUUCUUGAAACUUAGUGGUUUUUCAAACCAUCAACUAUUGAUGCUCCUUCUUGAUUUCUACUUUCGCAGUGUCAAACGUCGCGAAUCGCUCAAGGAUCAUUGUAUGUAUCCUUGAUAUGUUAUAGUUCAUCACGAAGCUCUCACAGCUUGGUGGCAGUGACUUUGGAGAACUAUCACUAUCUCAUCUGGAAGAUUAACUCCCACUUGAUUCAAGCGAUUGUCGUACUCAGACAAUCUGAGCACAUGCUCAACGAUUGAGCCUUUUCUCCUGUGCUUUGUGGACAAAGAAUCUUGUCGGAGGUCUCGUACCUCUUAACAAGGGCACAAGCAUGAAAUCACAAUUUCAUCUCUUUAGAACAUCACUUAUGUUCCGUGACGUUUUACAACGUUUUUGGCGCCUUGCUUCUAAGCCAUUAAGUAUUUCUGUACUGAACUAUCAUGUAGUCAUCAGAAACGUGUAUGUCGGAUGUUCACAUCAUCCACAGACGACGCUCGAGGUGCAGCACACCGAGUGGUGCAUUAAGGACAUAAGCCUUCUGUGCAGCAACGAGGACAAUCCUCAGUUUUACAGACUCAGUCUGCAAAGGUUGCUACUAUCAAUUUUCAACUAAAUUUUCUCUAGGAACAUAAAAAAAACAGUAGAGCUAUAGCGCAAGCUACAUCGUAAUUCGCAAAGACCAUUAGACUAUGUUCAUGACAAUUAGUUCAAUUAAUCAUAUUACUUAAGAACUCCCACUCAAAAAGUACAUCUCUCUAGUCAUUUGAGUGGUACAUGAUCCAAAUCCACUAUCUCAAGUCCGAUCAUCACGUGAGUCGAGAAUAGUUUCAGUGGUAAGCAUCCCUAUGCUAAUCAUAUCAACUAUACGAUUCAUGCUCGACCUUUCGGUCUCACGUGUUCCGAGGCCAUGUCUGCACAUGCUAGGCUCGUCAAGCUUAACCCGAGUGUUCUGCGUGUGCAACUGUUUUGCACCCGUUGUAUGUGAACGUUGAGUCUAUCACACCCGAUCAUCACGUGGUGUCUCGAAACGAAGAACUGUCGCAACGGUGCACAGUCGGGGAGAACACAAUUUCGUCUUGAAAUUUUAGUGAGAGAUCACCUCAUAAUGCUACCGUCGUUCUAAGCAAAACAAGGUGCAUAAAAGGAUUAACAUCACAUGCAAUUCAUAAGUGACAUGAUAUGGCCAUCAUCACGUGCUUCUUGAUCUCCAUCACCAAAGCACCGGCACGAUCUUCUUGUCACCGGCGCCACACCAUGAUCAUCCAUCAACGUGUUGCCAUCGGGGUUGUCGUGCUACUUAUGCUAUUACUACUAAAGCUACAUCCUAGCAAAAUAGUAAAACGCAUCUGCAAGCACAUAUGUUAGUAUAAAGACAACCCUAUGGCUCCUGCCGGUUGCCGUACCAUCGACGUGCAAGUCGAUAUUUCUAUUACAACAUGAUCAUCUCAUACAUCCAAUAUAUCACAUCACAUCAUUGGCCAUAUCACAUCACAAUCAUACCCUGCAAAAACAAGUUAGACGUCCUCUAAUUUUGUUGUUGCAUGUUUUACGUGGUGACCAAGGGUAUCUAGUAGGAUCGCAUCUUACUUACGCAAACACCACAACGGAGAUAUAUGAGUUGCUAUUUAACCUCAUCCAAGGACCUCCUUGGUCAAAUCCGAUUCAACUAAAGUUGGAGAAACCGUCACUUGCCAGUCAUCUUUGAGCAAAGGGGGUUACUCGUAACGAUGAAACCAGUCUCUCGUAAGCGUACGAGUAAUGUCGGUCCAAGCCGCUUCAAUCCAACAAUACCGCGGAAUCAAGAAAAGACUAAGGAGGGCAGCAAAACGCACAUCACCGCCCACAAAAACUUUUGUGUUCUACUCGAGAAGACAUCUACGCAUGAACCUAGCUCUGAUACUACUGUUGGGGAACGUCGCAAGGGAAACAAAAAAUUUCCUACGCGCACGAAGACCUAUCAUGGUGAUGUCCAUCUACGAGAGGGGAUGAGUGAUCUACGUACCCUUGUAGAUCGUACAGCAGAAGCGUUAGAGAACGCGGUUGAUGUAGUGGAACGUCCUCACGUCCCUCGAUCCGCCCCGCGAACAAUCCCGCGAUCAGUCCCACGAUCUAGUACCGAACGGACGGCACCUCCGCGUUCAGCACACGUACAGCUCGACGAUGAUCUCGGCCUUCUUGAUCCAGCAAGAGAGACGGAGAGGUAGAAGAGUUCUCCGGCAGCGUGACGGCGCUCCGGAAGUUGGUGAUGAUCUUGUCUCAGCAGGGCUCCGCCCGAGCUCCGCAGAAACGCGAUCCAGAGGAAAAACUAUGGAGGUAUGUGGUCGGGCAGCCGUGAGAAAGUCGUCUCAAAUCAGCCCUAAAACCUCCGUAUAUAUAGGUGGGAGGGAGGGGAGGAGGCAGCCUCAAAACCUAAAGGUUUGGCCGAAAUUGGAGGUGGAGGAGUCCUACUCCAAUCCUACUUGGAGUAGGAUUCCACCUUCCCACUUGGAAACUCUUUCCACCUUGUGUUUUUUUUCUUCUCAAACCUUAUGGGCCUUAGUGGGAACUUAUUCCAGCCCACUAGGGGCUGGUUUAUCUCUUCCCAUAGCCCAUGAGACCCCUUGGGGCGUGACACCCCUCCCGAUGGUCCCCGGCACCCCUCCCGGCACUCCCGGUACACUACCGAUGAGCCCGAAACUUUUCCGAUAAUGCACGAAAACCUUCCGGUAACCAAAUGAGGUCAUCCUAUAUAUCAAUCUUCGUUUCCGGACCAUUCCGGAAACUCUCGUUACGUCCGUGAUCUCAUCCGGGACUCCGAACAACAUUCGGUAACCAACCAUAUAACUCAAAUACGCAUAAAACAACGUCGAACCUUAAGUGUGCAGACCCUGCGGGUUCGAGAACUAUGUAGACAUGACCCGAGAGACUCCUCGGUCAAUAUCCAAUAGCGGGACCUAGAUGCCCAUAUUGGAUCCUACAUAUUCUACGAAGAUCUUAUCGUUUGAACCUCAGUGCCAAGGAUUCAUAUAAUCCCGUAUGUCAUUCCCUUUGUCCUUCGGUAUGUUACUUGCCCGAGAUUCGAUCGUCAGUAUCCGCAUACCUAUUUUAAUCUCGUUUACCGGCAAGUCUCUUUACUCGUUCCGUAAUACAAGAUCCCGUAACUUACACUAAGUCACAUUGCUUGCAAGGCUUCUGUGUGAUGUUGUAUUACCGAGUGGGCCCCGAGAUACCUCUCCGUUCACACGGAGUGACAAAUCCCAGUCUUGAUCCAUACUAACUCAACUAACACCUUCGGAGAUACCUGUAGAGCAUCUUUAUAGUCACCCAGUUACGUUGCGAUGUUUGAUACACACAAAGCAUUCCUCCGGUGUCAGUGAGUUAUAUGAUCUCAUGGUCAUAGGAAUAAAUACUUGACACGCAGAAAACAAUAGCAACAAAAUGACACGAUCAACAUGCUACGUCUAUUAGUUUGGGUCUAGUCCAUCACAUGAUUCUCCUAAUGAUGUGAUCCCGUUAUCAAGUGACAACACUUGCCUAUGGCCAGGAAACCUUGACCAUCUUUGAUCAACGAGCUAGUCAACUAGAGGCUUACUAGGGACAGUGUUUUGUCUAUGUAUCCACACAAGUAUUGUGUUUCCAAUCAAUACAAUUAUAGCAUGGAUAAUAAACGAUUAUCAUGAACUAAGAAAUAUAAUAAUAACUAAUUUAUUAUUGCCUCUAGGGCAUAUUUCCAACACACUCAUCAUCGAGAGCGGAGCGAGCAAGAAGAUCCUGAAUAUAUUUUUCCUGGGAAAUGAAGAAGCCAUCAGGGGUCAAAUAAAUCUCAAUCCCAAGAAAAUAGCAAAGGGGGACAAGAUCACACAUGAUAAAUUGGUCGGGAAGGCGGGCCUUAUCAAAGGCAAUGUGGUUGGGGUCAUCACCAGUGAUGAUCAUGUCAUCAACAUAGAAAAGGAGAAGAGUCUGACCGCGAGGAGACAUGUGAAAAAAUAGCGCGGGGUCAUGAUCACUCGGAGAGAAGCCCGCGUCAGUCACCACAGAGGCAAAAUGCUCAAACCAGGCGCGAGGGGCCCAUUUUAGACCAUAGAGGGAGCAUUGAAGUCAGCAGAUCAUACCAUCGGGAGCAUGGUACCCCGGUGAUGAUUGGAUAUAAACCUCCUCGCGCAACUCGCCAUUGAGAGAAGUGUUCUGGACGUCAAGUUGAGACACAGACCAAUGAUGAAUAGAAGGCACAACAAGCAGAGUGCGGACAGUGGUCAUGUGUGCUACAUGAGCAAAUGUCUCAUCAUAAUUGCACCCUUGCUCCUGCUGAAAACCACGAGCCAUAAGACGAGCUUUGUAGUGCUCAAGAUAACCAUGAGAGCGAGUCCUAAUCUUAUAGACCCACUUGCACGUGAUGGGACGAACACCGGAAGGGAGGGAAACCAGAUCCCAGGUGCCAUUGCGCUCAAGGGCAGCAAGCUCCUCGGCCAUCGCAAACUACCAUUCAGGCUGUGGCAUGGCAGCCUGAUAAGAAGUGGGCUCAGCCACAAUAGAGAGACCAUAAUGGUCAGGAGAAUAGAGAUCGGGUGGGCGAAAGGACGAGCACGAAGGUUAUGGGCCGGGGGAGGCGUGAAGGAAGGCGCUCCGGAAGUGUAGGGCGCGUCAGUAGGAUCAUCUUCGCUACGAGGGCGACGAGUGUAGUGAAGAGGAAAAGGAGAGACGAAUGUUGAGGGUGGGUAGGAGGAUGGAGGAGAUGGGGAUGCGAAGGAUGAGGGUGGGGAGAAGGACGGAGAGGAAGGUGAUGUCGAUGGUGGAUGAGGAAGAGGGAGAUGUGCCGGAGGAGGGGGAAACAUGAGGCACAUAGGGGGGGUAUCAGGAAGAAGAACAAAAGAAAGAUCAUCCAGAGAAAAUCUCGAGGAGUUAAGGCGGGGGUAGUAAGAACGUGACUCAUCAAAAGUCACAUCACGCAAAAUGCGCAACGAACAACCAACAGGAUCCCAACAGCCAUAGCCCUUGUGCUCAUCACUGUAGCCAAGAAAAAACACACUCGACCGACUGAGCAGUCAGUUUGGUGCGUUCUCACGGGGCCAGAAGGACAUAGCAUACACACCCAAACAUACGGAGAGCUGAGUAGUCAGGAGAACGACUAGUGAGACACUCCAUAGGAAUGCCACCAUGCAAGGCAAUCGAUGGCUGAAUGUUGAUGAGAUAGGUGGAUGCGGAGAUGGCCUGAACACAAAAAUGGGGUGGAAGGAAAGCGGCCAUCAUCAGCGCACGAGCCGUCUCAAGUAGAUGAUGAUGCUUGCAUUCCACAACGCCAUUCUGAGCAUGCACACCAGGAAAUGAGAACUGGACAAGAGUACCGUGUUCCGCGAGAAAGGCAUGCAACGUCUGGGAGAUAUACUCUCGAGCGGAGUCAGCACGAAAAGUGCAAAUGGGCAUGGAAAACUGGGUGUGAACCAUGGCAGCAAAUCGUUUGUAUAUAGAGAGAAUCUCACUAUGAGAUUUCAUAAAAUGUAGCCAAGUGUAGCAAGAGAAAUCAUCAAUAAAUAGAACAUAGUAUAGAUGUCCACCUUUCGAAUCAAAGGGAGUAGGACCCCACACAUCAGAAUGAACUAAGUCAAAAGGACACUAAGAUAUUGACUCACUAGUAGGAUAAGGUAAUUGAGUCUGUUUGCCAAGUCUACAACCAUUACAACCCUAAGACACCCUGAUGCACCAAUGACGACAAGAGAGAACCACAUAGGUGACCAAGCCAAUGAUGCCACUGCUGGAAGAUCACAAAAGAGGAGGCGGCAAGUGCAUGAGAACUGGCAGAAGUGGUGGUAGCAGAAGGAACAUGAAGCUAGUCAACCUCCCAAGGACCCUCCAACUCACGCCGCCGAGGGCCAACACCAACCAGAGCCUUGGUGCGAAGAUACUGAAUAGAGCAAGAGUCGGUAUCAAGAAUUAGACGACAACCAGAAUCAGUAAGUUGGGUAGUGGAGAAGAGGUUCAUGGUAAGACGAGGAACAUGAGAAACACUAUGAACAGAAAAAUACGGAGUAGAAAGGGUGCCAUGACUAGCAACAGGAAGGGGUGUGCCAUCGGCAAUGAGAACAUUAACAUGAGAAUAAAGAGGUUGAAGAGAAGAUAACGCUAAAGAAUCAGAAGACAUAUGAAAAGAAGCUCCAGAAUCCAGAACCCACGAAGAUGUACGUGAAUGAGUAGGUGUUGAUGGUGUUGAACGGGUGGGAGCGGUCACAGCGACAGCAGAACCCGUCAAUGAAGAGCCAGAGGAAGCCAGGAGGCGCUUGAGACGGAUAAUGUUCUGGUCAGUGAGUGAUGGAGUCGAGGAAGAUUCAGGACUCCCACUGAAGGAAGAACACAUCUGUUCUUGUUGUUUCUGACGACAAUCAGACUCUGGGUGACCUGGCCCGGAGCAAUAGACACAUAAUGUAUGAUGACAUGACCGGCCCUUCUCAGCAUAAGGAGGGCAACCCAUCCCUCUGUGGGUGUGGGUAGGAGGGGUGGUGCAGUGGGACGAGCAGAUGUCACAGGAGCUCGGAUAGCCAACAUAGAAGGAACUGCAAGCAACCGAGCAGAACGAAGGCGGGUCUCCUCAGCACGAAGCUCAGCAAGUAACUCAGUGAUAGGAACACGGCCACGAGCAAGCAAGUGAGCACGCUGAGGCUCAAACUCGGAGCAGAGGCGAGCUACGAACUCAUGGACACGCUGAAACUCCAAGUCGGACCGCAUAGUCUGGCAACAACGGUAAGCUCCAGAAACAGCACUCCGAAGAGAGUCAAGCUCGCGCGAGAUGGCAGAACUCUGUGUGUAGAACUCAUCAACAGAAGAGUCACCUUGCUAAAGAGCAUGCUUAUGAUGCACCACAGUUAAGUAGAGAGCAUCACCAUAGGGCUGAUAGCGCUGACAGAGAUAAGACCACAUUGUUGCAACAGUGUCGAGACCCAUGAACUCUGAGGCAAACUGAGGGAGAACACUCGCAGUGAGAACAGCAGCAGCCCGAGCAUCAUCUUUUCACCACUAAGUGUAAGCAAAUAGAACAUCACGGUAGACAGAAAGAGCAUCUACAUAAGCCGAUACCUGUUGAUCAUAGGCAUCGACUGCAGCAUCAUCGAGAGCCUUGGUUGCAUCUCGAUCAGCCUGGGAAGCAUCAGCAGCCAGAACAUGCGGCACCGGCGGGGUAGGAUCCACAGGAGCAACAGGGCAUGGCGGACAUGGGAGCACCCUAGAGAGAACGCCCCACAGUAGAAGACCGCUCAUGUGGAUACGCAUGAAGCCCACAAACUCAACAUAGUUGGUGCCAUCGAAGUGUUGGAAUUAUGCCCUAGAGGCAAUAAUAAAUGUAUAGUUAUUAUUAUAAUUCCUGUAUCAAGAUAAUAGUUUAUUAUCCAUGCUAUAAUUGUAUUGAAUAAAGACUCAUUUACAUGUGUGGAUACAUAGACAAAACACCGUCCCUAGCAUGCCUCUAGUUGGCUAGCCAGUUGAUCGAUGAUAGUCAGUGUCUUCUGAUUAUGAACAAGGUGUUGUUGCUUGAUAACUGGAUCACGUCAUUGGGAGAAUCACGUGAUGGACUAGACCCAAACUAAUAGACGUAGCAUGUUGAUCGUGUCAUUUUGUUGCUACUGUUUUCUGCGUGUCAAGUAUUUAUUCCUAUGACCAUGAGAUCAUAUAACUCACUGACACCGGAGGAAUGCUUUGUGUGUAUCAAACGUCGCAACGUAACUGGGUGACUAUAAAGAUGCACUACAGGUAUCUCCGAAGGUGUUAGUUGAGUUAGUAUGGAUCAAGACUGGGAUUUGUCACUCCGUGUGACGGAGAGGUAUCUCGGGGCCCACUCGGUAAUACAACAUCACACACAAGCCUUGCAAGCAAUGUAACUUAAUGUAAGUUGCGGGAUCUUGUAUUACGGAACGAGUAAAGAGACUUGCCGGUAAACGAGGUUGAAAUAGGUAUACGGAUACUGACGAUCGAAUCUCGGGCAAGUAACAUACCAAAGAACAAAGGGAAUGACAUACAGGAUUAUACGAAUCCUUGGCACUGAGGUUCAAACGAUAAGAUCUUCGUAGAAUAUGUAGGAUCCAAUAUGGGCAUCCAGGUCCCGCUGUUGGAUAUUGACCGAGGAGUCUCUCGGGUCAUGUCUACAUAGUUCUCGAACCCGCAGGGUCUGCACACUUAAGGUUCGACGUUGUUUUAUGCGUAUUUGAGUUAUAUGGUUGGUUACCGAAUGUUGUUCGGAGUCCCGGAUGAGAUCACGGACGUCACGAGGGUUUCCGGAAUAGUCCGGAAACGAAGAUUGAUAUAUAGGAUGACCUCAUUUGAUUACCGGAAGGUUUUCGGAGUUACCGGGAAUGUACCGGGAAUGACGAAUGGGUUCCGGGAGUUCACCGGAGGGGGGCAACCCACUCCGGGGAAGCCCAUAGGCAUUUGGGGGGGUCACACCAGCCCUUAGUGGGCUGGUGGGACAGCCCACCAAUCCCCUAUGCGCCAAGAGAGAAAAAAUCAAAGGAAAGAAAAAAAAAGGAAGAAGUGGGAAGGGGGAAGGACUUCCUCCCACCAAACCAAGUAGGACUCGGUUUGGGGGGGGAGAGUCCUCCCCCCUGGCUCGGCCGACCCCUUGGGGAUCCCUUGGACCCCAAGGCAAGGUCCCCCUCCCUCCUCCUAUAUAUAUGGGGCUUUUAGGGCAGAUUUGAGACGACUUUCUCACGGCUGCCCGACCACAUACCUCCAUAGUUUUUCCUCUAGAUCGUGUUUCUACGGAGCUCGGGCGGAGCCCUGCUGAGACAAGAUCAUCACCAACCUCCGGAGUGCCGUCACGCUGCCGGAGAACUCUUCUACCUCUCCGUCUCUCUUGCUGGAUCAAGAAGGCCGAGAUCAUCGUCGAGCUGUACGUGUGCUGAACGCGGAGGUGCCGUCCGUUCAGUACUAGAUCGUGGGACUGAUCGCGGGAUUGUUCGCGGGGCGGAUCGAGGGACGUGAGGACGUUCCACUACAUCAACCGCGUUCUCUAACGCUUCUGCUGUACGAUCUACAAGGGUACGUAGAUCACUCAUCUCCUCUCGUAGAUGGACAUCACCAUGAUAGGUCUUCGUGCGCGUAGGAAAAUUUUUGUUUCCCAUGCGACGUUUCCCAACAGUGGCAUCAUGAGCUAGGUUCAUGCGUAGAUGUCUUCUCGAGUAGAACACAAAAGGUUUUGUGGGCGGUGAUGUGCGUUUUGCUGCCCUCCUUAGUCUUUUCUUGAUUCCGCGGUAUUGUUGGAUUGAAGCGGCUUGGACCGACAUUACUCGUACGCUUACGAGAGACUGGUUUCAUCGUUACGAGUAACCCCUAUUUGCUCAAAGAUGACUGGCAAGUGUCGGUUUCUCCAACUUUAGUUGAAUCGGAUUUGACCGAGGAGGUCCUUGGAUGAGGUUAAAUAGCAACUCAUAUAUCUCCGUUGUGGUGUUUGCGUAAGUAAGAUGCGAUCCUACUAGAUACCCUUGGUCACCACGUAAAACAUGCAACAACAAAAUUAGAGGACGUCUAACUUGUUUUUGCAGGGUAUGAUUGUGAUGUGAUAUGGCCAACGAUGUGAUGUGAUAUAUUGGAUGUAUGAGAUGAUCAUGUUGUAAUAGAAAUAUCGACUUGCACGUCGAUGGUACGGCAACCGGCAGGAGCCAUAGGGUUGUCUUUAUACUAACAUAUGUGCUUGCAGAUGCGUUUACUAUUUUGCUAGGAUGUAGCUUUAGUAGUAAUAGCAUAAGUAGCACGACAACCACGAUGGCAACACGUUGAUGGAUGAUCAUGGUGUGGCGCCGAUGACAAGAAGAUCGUGCCGGUGCUUUGGUGAUGGAGAUCAAGAAGCACGUGAUGAUGGCCAUAUCAUGUCACUUAUGAAUUGCAUGUGAUGUUAAUCCUUUUAUGCACCUUAUUUUUCUUAGAACGACGGUAGCAUUAUGAGGUGAUCUCUCACUAAAAUUUCAAGACGAAAUUGUGUUCUCCCCGACUGUGCACCGUUGCUACAGUUCGUCGUUUCGAGACACCACGUGAUGAUCGGGUGUGAUAGACUCAACGUUCACAUACAACGGGUGCAAAACAGUUGCGCACGCGGAACACUCGGGUUAAGCUUGACGAGCCUAGCAUGUGCAGACAUGGCCUCGGAACACAUGAGACCGAAAGGUCGAUCAUGAAUCAUAUAGUUGAUAUGAUUAGCAUAGGGAUGCUUACCACUGAAACUAUACUCAACUCACGUGAUGAUCGGACUUGGGAUAAUGUAAGUGGAUCAUGAACCACUCAAAUGACUAGAGAGAUGUACUUUUUGAGUGGGAGUUUAGCAUAUAAUUUGAUUAAGUUGAACUCUAAUUAUCUUGAACAUAGUCUAAGUCCACUUUGAAUAUAUUUGUGUUGUAGAUCAUGGCUCACGCAAGUGUCAUCCUGAAUUUUAAUACGUUCCUAGAGAAAGCUAAGUUGAAAGAUGAUGGAAGCAACUUUGUAGACUGGGCUCGUAAUCUUAAGCUAAUCUUACAAGCUGGAAAGAAGGAUUAUGUCCUUAAUGCUGCGCUAGGAGAUGAACCACCCGCUACGGCUGAUCAGGAUGUUAAGAACGCUUGGUUAGCACGUAAGGAGGACUACUCAAUAGUUCAAUGUGCAGUCUUGUAUGGCUUGGAACCGGGACUUCAAUGUCGCUUUGAGCGUCAUGGAGCAUUUGAGAUGUUCCAGGAGUUGAAGUUUAUCUUUCAGAAGAACGCCCGGAUCGAGAGGUAUGAGACCUCCGAUAAAUUCUAUGCUUGCAAGAUGGAGGAAAACUCGUCUGUCAGUGAACAUGUGCUCAAAAUGUCUGGGUACUCAAACCGUCUAGCUGAACUGGGGAUUGAACUCCCGCAAGAAGCUAUCACUGACAGAAUCCUUCAAUCACUGCCGCCAAGCUAUAAAGGCUUUGUGUUGAACUACAACAUGCAAGGGAUGAACAAGUCUCCCGGCGAGUUGUUUGCGAUGCUGAAAGUUGCACAGUCUGAACUCCGUAAAGAGCAUCAAGUGUUGAUGGUGAGCAAGACCACUAGUUUCAAGAGAAACGGAAAAGGCAAGAAGGGCAAUUCAAAGAAGAGCGGCAAGCCUGUUGCCAAUCCGCCGAAGAAACCCAAGGCUAGACCUAAGCCUGAAACAGAGUGCUUCUAUUGCAAGGGUAUGGGUCACUGGAAGCGCAGCCGCCCCAAGUAUCUGGCAGAUAAGAGGGCGGGCAAAGAAAAAUCAGGUAUAUUUGAUAUACAUGUUAUUGAUGUGUACUUAACCGGCUCUCGUAGUAGUGCCUGGGUAUUCGAUACCGGUUCUGUUGCUCACAUUUGCAACUCGAAGCAGGAACUGCGGAAUAGACGAAGGCUGGCGAAAGAUGAAGUGACGAUGCGCGUAGGAAACGGUUCCAAGGUUGAUGCAAUCGCCGUCGGCACAGUGUCACUUCAACUACCAUCGGGAUUAGUGAUGAACUUAAAUCAUUGUUAUUUAGUGCCUGCGUUGAGCAUGAACAUUAUAUCUGGAUCUUGUUUAUUGCGAGACGGUUACUCUUUUAAGUCUGAGAAUAAUGGUUGUUCUAUUUCUAUGAGUAACAUCUUUUAUGGUCAUGCACCGAAUGUGAGAGGAUUGUUCAUAUUGAAUCUUGAUAGAGAUACGCAUAUACAUAACAUUGAGACCAAAAGAGUUAGAGUAAACAAUGAUAGCGCCAUAUUUUUGUGGCACUGCCGCUUGGGUCAUAUUGGUGUAAAGCGCAUGAAGAAACUCCAUGCUGAUGGACUUUUGGAGUCACUUGACUUUGAUUCACUUGACACGUGUGAACCAUGCCUCAUGGGCAAGAUGACUAAGACUCCGUUCUCCGGAACAAUGGAGCGUGCAAGUGACUUGUUGGAAAUCAUACAUACCGAUAUGUGUGGUCCAAUGAGCGUGGAGGCACGCGGCGGAUAUCGUUAUUUUCUCACCUUCACUGACGAUUUAAGUAGAUAUGGUUAUGUCUACUUGAUCAAGCACAAGUCUGAAACAUUUGAAAAGUUCAAGCAAUUUCAGAGUGAAGUGGAAAAUCAUCGUAACAAGAAGAUCAAGUUCCUACGGUCUGAUCGUGGGGGUGAAUAUCUGAGUUUCGAGUUUGGUACUCACUUAAGACAAUGUGGAAUUGUUUCGCAGUUAACACCGCCUGGAACACCACAGCGUAAUGGUGUGUCCGAACGUCGUAAUCGUACUUUGUUAGAAAUGGUGCGAUCUAUGAUGUCUCUUACUGAUUUGCCGUUAUUGUUUUGGGGUUAUGCAUUAGAAACAGCUGCAUUCACUUUAAAUAGGGCACCAUCGAAAUCCGUUGAGACGACACUAUACGAACUGUGGUAUGGCAAAAGGCCAAAGUUGUCGUUUCUUAAAGUUUGGGGAUGUGAUGCUUAUGUCAAAAAGCUUCAGCCUGAAAAGCUGGAACCCAAAGCGGAAAAGUGCGUCUUCAUAGGUUACCCAAAAGAGACAGUUGGGUACACCUUCUAUCUCAAAUCCGAGGGCAAAGUGUUUGUUGCUAAGAACGGAACUUUUCUCGAGAAGGAGUUUCUCUCGAGAGAAUUGAGUGGGAGCAAGAUAGAACUUGACGAGGUUGUCGAACCUCUCAUCCCUCUGGAUGGUGGCGCAGGGCAAGGGGAAACCUCUGUGAUUGCGACGCCGGUUGAGGAGGAAGUUAAUGAUGAUGAUCAUGAAACUCCAGUUCAAGUUUCUGUUGAACCACGCAGGUCGACGAGAUCACGCGCUGCUCCAGAGUGGUACGGUAAUCCCGUCUUAUCAAUCGUGUUGUUAGACAACAAUGAACCUGCAAAUUAUGAAGAAGCAAUGGUGGGCCCAGAUUCCAACAAAUGGUUAGAAGCCAUGAAAUCCGAGAUAGGAUCCAUGUAUGAGAACAAAGUGUGGACUUUGGAGAUGCUGCCUGAGGGCCGCAAGGCUAUUCAGAACAAAUAGAUCUUUAAGAAGAAGACGGACGCUGACGGUAAUGUGACCGUUUAUAAAAGCUCGACUUGUGGCAAAGGGUUUUUCACAAGUUCCAGGAAUUGACUACGAUGAGACUUUCUCUCCCGUAGCGAUGGUUAAGUCCGUCAGAAUCAUGUUGGCAAUAGCUGCAUUUUUCGAUUAUGAAAUCUGGCAGAUGGAUGUCAAAACGGCAUUCCUUAAUGGUUUCCUUAAGGAAGAGUUGUAUAUGACGCAACCCGAAGGUUUUGUCGAUCCUAAAAAUGCUGACAAGGUGUGCAAGCUCCAGCGAUCCAUUUAUGGACUGGUGCAAGCAUCUCGGAGUUGGAACAAACGCUUUGAUGAGGUGAUCAAAGCAUUUGGGUUUAUACAAGUGGUUGGAGAAUCUUGUAUUUACAAGAAAGUGAGUGGAAGCUCUGUGGCGUUUCUAAUAUUAUAUGUGGAUGACAUAUUACUGAUUGGAAACAACGUAGAGCUUUUGGAGAGCAUAAAAGGUUACUUGAAUAAAAGUUUCUCUAUGAAGGACCUAGGAGAAGCUACUUACAUUCUAGGCAUUAAGAUCUAUAGGGAUAGAUCAAAACGCCUAAUAGGACUUUCACAAAGCACAUACCUUGAUAAAGUUUUGAAGAGGUUCAAAAUGGAACAGUCCAAGAAAGGGUUCUUGCCGGUGUUACAAGGUACGAGAUUGAGUAAGACUCAGUGCCCAGCAACUGAUGAAGAUAGAGAGCAUAUGCGCUCCGUCCCCUAUGCUUCAGCCGUAGGUUCUAUCAUGUAUGCGAUGCUGUGCACUAGACCGGAUGUUAGCCUGGCCAUAAGUAUGGCAGGCAGGUUCCAGAGUAAUCCAGGAGUGGAUCACUGGACAGCAGUCAAGAAUAUCCUGAAGUACCUGAAAAGGACUAAGGAGAUGUUUCUCGUGUAUGGAGGUGACGAAGAGCUCGCUGUAAAGGGUUACGUUGAUGCAAGCUUUGACACAGAUCCGGACGACUCUAAGUCGCAAACCGGAUACGUAUUUAUUCUUAAUGGGGGUGCAGUAAGCUGGUGCAGUUCCAAGCAAAGCGUCGUAGCAGAUUCUACAUGUGAAGCAGAGUACAUGGCUGCCUCGGAGGCGGCUAAGGAGGGUGUCUAGAUGAAGCAGUUCAUGACGGAUCUUGAAGUGGUGCCAAGUGCACUGGAUCCAAUAACCUUGUUCUGUGACAACACUGGUGCCAUUGCCUUAGCAAAGGAACCAAGGUUUCACAAGAAGACCAGACACAUCAAGCGACGCUUCAACCUCAUCCGCGACUACGUCGAGGAGGAGGACGUAAAUAUAUGCAAAGUGCACACGGAUCUGAAUGUAGCAGACCCGCUGACUAAACCUCUUCCACAGCCAAAACAUGAUCGACACCAGAACUGUAUGGGUGUUAGAUUUAUUACAAUGUAAUUCACAUGGUGAUGUGAGGGCUAGAUUAUUGACUCUAGUGCAAGUGGGAGACUGUUGGAAUUAUGCCCUAGAGGCAAUAAUAAAUGUAUAGUUAUUAUUAUAAUUUCUGUAUCAAGAUAAUAGUUUAUUAUCCAUGCUAUAAUUGUAUUGAAUAAAGACUCAUUUACAUGUGUGGAUACAUAGACAAAACACCGUCCCUAGCAUGCCUCUAGUUGGCUAGCCAGUUGAUCGAUGAUAGUCAGUGUCUUCUGAUUAUGAACAAGGUGUUGUUGCUUGAUAACUGGAUCACGUCAUUGGGAGAAUCACGUGAUGGACUAGACCCAAACUAAUAGACGUAGCAUGUUGAUCGUGUCAUUUUGUUGCUACUGUUUUCUGCGUGUCAAGUAUUUAUUCCUAUGACCAUGAGAUCAUAUAACUCACUGACACCGGAGGAAUGCUUUUUGUGUAUCAAACGUCGCAACGUAACUGGGUGACUAUAAAGAUGCACUACAGGUAUCUCCGAAGGUGUUAGUUGAGUUAGUAUGGAUCAAGACUGGGAUUUGUCACUCCGUGUGACGGAGAGGUAUCUCGGGGCCCACUCGGUAAUACAACAUCACACACAAGCCUUGCAAGCAAUGUAACUUAAUGUAAGUUGCGGGAUCUUGUAUUACGGAACGAGUAAAGAGACUUGCCGGUAAACGAGGUUGAAAUAGGUAUACGGAUACUGACGAUCGAAUCUCGGGCAAGUAACAUACCGAAGGACAAAGGGAAUGACAUACGGGAUUAUACGAAUCCUUGGCACUGAGGUUCAAACGAUAAGAUCUUCGUAGAAUAUGUAGGAUCCAAUAUGGGCAUCCAGGUCCCGCUGUUGGAUAUUGACCGAGGAGUCUCUCGGGUCAUGUCUACAUAGUUCUCGAACCCGCAGGGUCUGCACACUUAAGGUUCGACGUUGUUUUAUGCGUAUUUGAGUUAUAUGGUUGGUUACCGAAUAUUGUUCGGAGUCCCGGAUGAGAUCACGGACGUCACGAGGGUUUCCGGAAUAGUCCGGAAACGAAGAUUGAUAUAUAGGAUGACCUCAUUUGAUUACCGGAAGGUUUUCGGAGUUACCGGGAAUGUACCGGGAAUGACGAAUGGGUUCCGGGAGUUCACCGGAGGGGGGCAACCCACUCCGGGGAAGCCCAUAGGCAUUUGGGGGGGUCACACCAGCCCUUAAUGGGCUGGUGGGACAGCCCACCAAUCCCCUAUGCGCCAAGAGAGAAAAAAUCAAAGGAAAGAAAAAAAAGAGGAAGAAGUGGGAAGGGGGAAGGACUCCCUCCCACCAAACCAAGUAGGACUCGGUUUGGGGGGGGGGAGUCCUCCCCCCUGGCUCGGCCGACCCCUUGGGGAUCCCUUGGACCCCAAGGCAAGGUCCCCCUCCCUCCUCCUAUAUAUAUGGGGCUUUUAGGGCAGAUUUGAGACGACUUUCUCACGGCUGCCCGACCACAUACCUCCAUAGUUUUUCCUCUAGAUCGUGUUUCUGCGGAGCUCGGGCGGAGCCCUGCUGAGACAAGAUCAUCACCAACCUCCGGAGCGUCGUCACGCUGCCGGAGAACUCUUCUACCUCUCCGUCUCUCUUGCUGGAUCAAGAAGGCCGAGAUCAUCGUCGAGCUGUACGUGUGCUGAACGCGGAGGUGCCGUCCGUUCGGUACUAGAUCGUGGGACUGAUCGCGGGAUUGUUCGCGGGGCGGAUCGAGGGACGUGAGGACGUUCCACUACAUCAACCGCGUUCUCUAACGCUUCUGCUGUACGAUCUACAAGGGUACGUAGAUCACUCAUCUCCUCUCGUAGAUGGACAUCACCAUGAUAGGUCUUCGCGCGCGUAGGAAAAUUUUUGUUUCCCAUCGACGUUCCCCAACACGAAGAUUAUCGAGCAUCGAGGAACAACGACAUAGCUUGAAGAAGACAUGUUGAUCUCCCUCUCUUUUUUCUAUAGAGUCAAACAACCGAUCCCAAUCGGUAUCAGGNCGGAUCCGAGCUCGACCGGGCAAAAAGGGGCCGGGAGAGGACGCCGAAGCAGCAGCUAGCUCGUAGCUAGCAGUGGCGGCAGUGGUGGAGGGAGAGAGAGCACGGAGCUGCAGCGUGCGGGGUGGGAGAGAACCUAAGCAUUUGAUACCAUGUUAUGAAUGAGCAACUGACAUUCACAGGGGGCAAGGGCCAGUACAUAUACAUGUGGUAAAAGGCAAGAAACCCCUUAUACAAUGGAGAUAUACAAUAAAAGGAACUAUACACAUCUAAGAGUCUCCACCACCACCACCACCACCACCACCCUCGUUUUCGUCAUUGCUCCCACCGGUAACCGCACGCUUCCUAGGGCUCAGCACCGCGGGAACACCAUCAUUCUCGCCGUUCCUCUCAUCGCUGGCAUCAGCGGCGACCCCCUCUUCCACGCCAUCACCGACCUCGUUAAAAGAACCACACACCAGGAAGGCUUCACGCGAAUUAAGCAAUUACAUAGGAAAGUUUAUGCCGGCCAGAACACGGUAUCGGCUAGGGUUCAACCCCAUAUACAAAAAAAGAUAAGAUCCUGCCAUUCGACUUACACAGCCUUAUAUAGCCAUCAAACUAAACUACAGAGAAUGGAGAUAAACAUUGUGCGCUUGUGAUCCCUUGGAUCCAUGAUGGAUGAUACUCAGUCAACACCCGCAGUGAAGAGGUAAGUGAGCUGCGGGAGAACAGUAAAAAGUGUCCAAUUAUUCAGUAAUCUUUAGAAAGAGAUUCAGAAAAGGAGAUGGCUUCAGAUAGCUGGUCGUGACAAUUCCCCCAUCCUAAGACCACACUUGUCCCCAAGUGUGCUGCAUUAGGGAGGCGGGAAGGAUAUUAUCUACAGCUGUGGUACCCAACCAUGGAUUUGAAGGGGUGGGUGAUGUGAAAAAUUCAUGAGGUAAAAUCCCACUAGUCUGUGUGUACAGGGACUCCCAUUCCAUGUAAAGACCAUGUAGUGUGUAUCAGAGUCAGGUUGUAAGGUACUGGAUAAGGAAAUACCAGGAUCCCGUUGACUUGUUACUUCUUUUUCCAAUGAAAAUUUCCACGAGGAAUCAGUGCAUUUGCAUUGUGAUUGAUUUGGAUAGGAAUAAUAGCAUGUUCAAUCCCAGGAAAAAAUGUGCAUCGCUUUAUAAUAAAUCAAAGCAAUGCGAGAAUCCUAUAUGGUGUGAUCUUCAUGUGUAUGUAUACUUCCAUUUUCCCAGAAUUCAAGUUGUACCUCAUUUUGUUCCCUUCCAUUAUAGCUCAUGGUACUGAGCUACAAGCUGUAUAUUCCCAACUCCAUUUGCGAUGUAAGCAGUGUCUUCAGGACAAUGACAGGCCAUGCUUGAAUAUAGUGGGUCCUUUGUCUUUUCAUCAGUGAGCAAACAAGUGGCAGCAAGUGUGAAUUCUUCAUGAAGAUAAGAACUGGAGGCCAAUAUUGUGAAACAUCAUUUACUGCAAGUGAGUCACGACAGAUUGCAGUACUAAUAGAAUUCCAAAAUAGUCCUUUUUGUGGUAAUUCCCAUUAGGAGGAGAUGCUCUUCUUAAUAUAAAAUGGGAACCAUUCUAUACCAACAGGGUUGCCUCUGAAAGUAUUCAUAAUAGCAACCAGGAAGUUUGCACUGUCCAUCCAAGAGAGUGUGUGUGCAUGAAGGUGGAGUGGAAGUUUAUGCUCACAGUAGUAGAAUUGCAUAUAAGGUAUCUGGAGCAUAGAUAUAUGAAUUAUAAUAUAGCAUUCCUGGAAGCUACUGAUGCCCAACAACAUUACCACGUGAGAAAUUGUGAAGGAAUAAUUGGGCACACCCAAAGCAAGCAGACGCAUGCCACUGUAGGUUAAUAUAUGCAGCUCCAUUGGAACUUUAAGCAGUAUCUUCAGGAAAAUAAUCUGCAAUGUGUCGACAUAGUGUUGUUUCUGAAUAUCCCCUCAGUAAGCAAUUGAAAGAAGCUGAGAAUGCGAAGUUUGCAGCAUUGGAGAGCAAUAUUGUGAAGCAUAGGUCACUGGGAUUAAGCCACAACAAACUGUAUUACUUCCAUCAUUCCAUGGCACACCUUUGGGCAUUGGUUCUCUGUCUGAGUUGAUGUUUUUGGUUGGAUAAAAUAUCAGCCAUUCUGUACUAGCACUAGUAGUGUCGCAAGUAAAAGUACUCAUCCCAACAGCAAGAAAGUGACCAAUUGUCACCCUUGGUAGGUGUUCAAGAAGGUGCAGUGUGUACGAACAUGUUCACAGUCAAAGCAAUGCAUAUAAGAUAGACGAACUGUAGAAGGAAAGGGCACAAGGUAGCAUUCCAUGAACGGAUCAAUGACCAAUCUUCUUGAAUUUGGGUGCUUGUUUGACUGAUGCUAGAAUAUUUCACACAUGGGAUUCAGCUGACUGAGGCACUGAAUAUCAGACUUGUAACCCCAAUGUACUUGCAAGAAUUCGCUGGGCGGUAUUUGUAUAGGAGCCCUCACAUCGAUGUGCUUGACACCAGAGUCCCAUAGAAGUCGGAGGCAAACACCACGUGCUCCACUUGUUAGCAGCAGCAAGAAUGCAGACCUAGUUUCGGUGUUCGAGGUCAUUGUUCGCCAUUGCUCAUUUAUCUCAACUUGAGGAAACGUCUCAUAUUGGUGUGAUGUCAUGAUUGUCGGCAUGACCUCAUUUAACUUGAAAUUGCAUAGUACUCCCUCCGUUCCUAAAUAUAAGUUCUUUUUAGAGGUUCCACUAGUGGACUACAUACGGAUGUAUAUAGACAUAGUUUAAAGUGUAGAUUCACUCUAUUUUGCUCCGUAUGUAGACUCCUAGUGAAAUCUACUUAAAAGACUUAUAUUUAGGAACGGAGGGAGUAGCUGAUUCCCAUAUAUUUCCGGUGAUUGACACGUAGCAGAUACUUUAAUUUCUUGUGUGAGUGUAGCAAUAACCGAAUGACUCCACUUAUUUUCAGUCGAGUCUAGUGCUUGUAUUUCACUAUAAUCCUCCCAAGGCAGAGAUGUAAACAAGCAUAUGAGAUAUGUAGAGUGUAUGGUAGUGUAAUUCAUGGUGAACCAGAGCAAAACAAGCUGCAAGAAAUUGAAAUACUCCUUAUUGAUUGGCAUACUAACUUUCCAAUUUUUACAAUGCAGAGUACCAGGGUCCCAAGGUAACAUCAAAGAACUGGUUUUAAUGUGUUCAACAAAUCAGAAAUAACUAUUGAUGCUUCAUGCACAUUGUUUUGACCGAAGUCGACAGGAGCUCUGUCAUUGCAUUAUAGGAGUGAGAAAAGAACUGUACAAAUAAUUUUUCUCCAUCCCUGAGCUCCUUCAUGCACAUUGUUGCUACCAGGAAUUAGAGCUAGCACAUGAGGAACCUUCUUUUUAGAUGGUGUACUAUGGAGAACCAUACUAGUAGCCGAUUGCUGAUAAUCGCAAUCCAAAUGCGAUGCCCAUGGCUGACUGAUGUGGAGAACAACAAGUGUGAUUUGGCAGUUAAUACGAGCAGUCUGUGAAUUGUAUGGCUCCUCUGCAACUACCUUGACAGUAAGAAAAUCAGUUGGUAUAAGUAUUGUCACUAUAGAAUCACUACUGCUUUGAUGGUGUACUUGCUCCAUAGGUGGUGGCCAUGGCCGACACAUGUGAAGAACAUCAUCUCAAAGAAGCAUGUCUGUUUGAUCAUUAGUGUGGAAUUCUUCCUCAUGGAGUAAAGGAAAAGACACAACAAUUCCAGUAAUAUAGGAAGUAUUGUAAGCUUCUACAUGUUUCUUCAUUUUCGUUGCAUAUGGUUGAGUAGUUUGCAAAUUGGAUGACUCUUCUCCAAGUGUGUUGACAGGAUGGAAAUCAUUUAGUGCCUUGUCAUCAUGAGUUAAAAGAAUAUCAUGAGCGAGCGUAAUAAUAGAGGUGUUGUUGCUACCUUGAUGGUGUUGCUAUUUGAUAGGCCAUUGUUGGAGAACUUGGUCAAAAGUGUCAAUAUUUGCUUCCAAAUCUCCAACUGACAAUCAUCUCGGUACAGGUACAGUCCAUGUAAACCAUGCAAAGCAUCAUUGGCCAUGCUAACAUGUGCAUAUUCAAUGAAUAUAGACGAGGUAUCUGUCAGUGAGUCGUGAUGUGGGUUCUGAAACAUUUCCUCAACUAUCCCAUCGGCAGAAAACACUUGACCGAUCUACUCUGGAGACACUAGUUGCUGAUAUUGAUGUACUACCACAUGGAGGACUCUGCCCCGAGGGUCUCGAAUUCUAUCAAACACUUGGUGUGCAUGGUUAUUUUCAUUCCAAGGUUUGUGUCGAACACCUGGUGGGCAGCACUUGCACUAGCACUUUGACUGCAGAAAUUUGCCAUUGAUAUGAUGAAGUAGAGAGACCACUUCACGCACCUGGGUCGUCCGCAACCCUCGAUCUAUGUCCGAUCAAGCACCGCCGUCAACGCCGGGUGCUGGGGUUGAAGAACCCAAUGACACCGCCGCGGUGAUUUGUCGAACAAAGAGGAAUUUUACAGGGGAUUCCCAAUCAUUCUGCCAGAAGCACAGGGGAUUCAGAGGUUAGAGAUGGAUUCAGAUAGGAAACAUGGUGAAGCAGUGCAUGACAUAGAGAUUAACUACUCCGACAAGAAGGCUUCACUCAAAUUAAGCAAUUACUCCGUACAUAGGAAAGUUUAUGCCGGCCAGAACAUGGUGUCGGCUAGGGUUCAACCCCAUAUACAAAAGAGAUAAGAUCCUGCCAUCUGCCUUACACAAACUUAUAUAGCCAUCAAACUAAACUAGAGAGACAGGAGAUAAACAAUGUCCGCUUGUGACCCCUUGGAUCCAUGAUGGACGGUACUCAGUCAACAGCCGCAGCGAAGAGGUAAGUGAGCUUCGGGUGAACAGUAAAACUGUCCAAAUGUUUAGUAAUCUUCAGAAAUAGCUUCAGAGAAGGAGAUGGCUUUAUAUAGCGGGUCGUGACAUACCUUGUCUGCGACGUCCACGACGUCCAUCUCUAGCGGCGGCGACGAUUGUAGACAACGAUGCGAUGGCACCGACAUAG